GAGAGAGGUUUGAUGAGAUUGCAAACAUGAUGCAUAAGUUUGAUCUCACUGCACGACUUGAUGAUCGUAGUUGGCGAAUUGUGCAUGAAGAGAGGGAAUCUACUCACUCGUUUGUGAGUCCAUCAGAUAUUAUUGGAAGAGAUAAAGAUAGAGAAAAAGUUAUUGAAGCUCUAAUGCAAGCAAGUUCUGGCGAAAGUGAAACUGUGUCUGUUAUUCCUAUUGUGGGAAUUGGAGGUCUGGGCAAAACUGCUCUUGCACAGUUGGUGUUCAAUGACCAAAGGGUAGAAGAGCAUUUUGAGUUGAAAAUCUGGAUAUGUGUUUCUGAAGAUUUUGGUGAGAGACAAAUUAUGACAAAGAUUAUCAAGUCGAUAACUGGUCAAAACCACGGUGACUUGGAUAUAGAGCAAUUGCAACGAAUCUUGCGAGUUUGUUUGACUGGUAAGAGAUAUUUACUUGUUAUGGAUGAUGUAUGGAACGAAGAUCCCAAAGUAUGGGAUAAAUUGAAAAGCUUAUUGUCGGGGGGUGCAAAGGGAAGCAAAAUUCUGGUAACCACACGUAGCAAUAAGGUUGCUUCAAUCAUGGGCACGAGGGGAGGCACUACUGGCUACAACUUACAAGGUCUACCAUUCGAGGAUUGCUUGUCUUUGUUUAUGAAAUGUGCAUUUAAAGAAGAGCGAGAUAAACAUCCAAACCUUGUAAAAAUCGGGGAAGAAAUUGUGAAAAAAUGUGGAGGAAUUCCGCUGGCAGUCAGAACACUAGGAAGUCUAUUAUAUUGCUCAACGGAUGAACACGAUUGGGAAUAUGUGAGGGAUAAUGAGAUAUGGAAGUUAGAACAAAAGGCAAAUGACAUUUUACCUGUUCUGAGGUUCAGUUAUGAUCAACUACCGCCUCGCCUGAAACAAUGUGUUGCUUAUUGUUGUAUCUUUCCAAAGGAUUAUCAAUUUUCAAGUGUUUAUUUGGUUCAAUUUUGGAUGGCUCAAGGACUUCUCCAUCCACUUAAUGAAAAUGAUGAACUAGAUGACAUUGGCAUGCGGUCCUUGAAGCAACUAUGUUCAAGAUCUUUCUUCCACGAUUUGGUACGAGGAUUUGAGAUGUUCACUUUCAAAAUGCACGACCUCAUCCAUGAUCUUGCACAGCUAGUGGCCAAAGGUGAAUUCCUAAUAGUGAACUCUGACUGUCAAUCUAUUCCCAAAAGAGUCCGCCAUUUGUCAUUUGUGGGUGCUAAUGCAUCAAGAAAAGAUUUUUCAAGGUUUUUAUCUGAUUUAGGUCGUGUGAGAACCAUUUUCUUUUCAAUUAAUGAUGAGAAGGUAAGCCAAUCAUUUGUUAGAUCAUGCAUCUCAAAGUCACAGUUCUUGAGAGUGCUAAAUUUAAGUGGCUCUGCUAUUGAGGCUUUGCCAAGAGAGAUAGGUAAUUUGAAGCAUAUGAGAUAUCUUGACCUAUCAAGAAAUUAUAAAAUCAAGAAACUUCCAAAUGCCAUUUGCAAGCUGCAAAGUUUACAAACACUGAAUCUUGAAGAAUGUCUGGAGCUAGAAGAGUUGCCUAAAGACAUAAGGUACCUUGUUAGUCUCAGAGUGUUUGAGGUAACCACAAAGCAGAAGUCUUUGCAGGACAGUGGAAUAGGGUGCUUGGUUUCUCUUCGUUGUUUGAUAAUAUCUCAUUGCAGGAAUUUGGAAUAUUUGUUCGACGAUAUAGAUCAACUAAGGGUCCUUCGAUCAUUAUUAAUUGCUGGUUGUCCCCGUCUAAUCUCAUUGCCGCCUGCUAUGAAAUACCUCAGCUCAUUGGAGACUCUAAUGUUUGUUCAGUGUGAAAGCCUUAGUCUUAAUUUGAGCAUGCAAUUGGAAGGGGAAGGAAGUCAUCAAGCUCGCAAUACCACAAGGCCUCACCUUCGGAAGCUUUUGAUUGGGGAAGUAACACCGUUAUUGGAAUUGCCACAAUGGCUUCUUCAAGGUUCUACUGGAACUUUACAACACCUAUUUAUUGCAAAUUGUCCCAACUUCAUGGCACUACCAGAGUCACUGAGAAAUUUCGAAGCACUUGAGGGUCUUGUCAUCGGGAAUUGUCCAAAAUUGUCAUCGUUGCCUGAGGAUAUGCUUCACCUGAAAACAUUGAGGAUUAGAGGCUGUCCUGCACUGAGUGAUAGAUGCAAACCGCUAACAGGUGAAGAUUGGCACAAGAUUACCCAUGUCGCUCACAUUAAGCUUGAUGACGAGAUAAUUAAAUCAAGUGAUAUUUAGGUAUGGAUUAAUCUCUCCUUUUUUUCCCUCUUUUCAUUCAAGUUUUUACUUUUGAAUUUCUCAUCUACCUAUACCGUUUAUAGUUUAAUGUUUUGUUAUGUUUACCAAAUAGAAACUUGUUGAAUGUUUAGUUAGUUAGUUCAAAUUUGUACUAAUUUCUUUUCUUCUAAUAAAUGAUUAGUUUGUUAAUACAAACUCAAUUACUCAAGCAUAUUAUUUGGAAACCAAACCGUUCUUGGGGUUAUCUGUUUCUAAAUCCAAACGGUUCAGGAAUUUUAAGAACGGAAGUUAUAAAGGGAUUUUCUUAAUUAGCCAGUUAUAUGGAACCUUAUUCGCAUAAAAGAAGAGCUUCUGAAAUUUCAAUUUUUGUUAAUAUUUUAACUCGCGCUGAAGCAUCUAACAAUUUAUCCUCUAUUUUCUCUUCUUUUCUUUUCUUUUUCCCCAAAUAUUGCAGCUUUCUUCGGAGAGGUUCAGCGAAGCUAUAGAGACAAUGAAAUUAUUACUGUAAUGUUGUUUCGGAACAGAGGUUCAACCGUUUUAAUGUUGUGUUUAAAAUUGCAAGUAUUGUAUAUUCAUUACUUAUGAUAAGUACAUCGAGUGAUGUAUAUAUGCGUGCCUGUAUGACCAUGAUUGAUAACCUUAAAUAUAUAUGUGCAUGUGUUGUCAUGACUGAUAACCUUAAAUAUAAUACCAAUAAUGUUUGUAGAAUUUCUGAAAUUCUCAUGAUGCACAAUUUAUGUAAUUUACAGUAUGUUCUUUCUCCUCCUUCGGUAGUCAGUAAUAUAAUUUGCAUUGAUUGCGUUGCUUAGCUCUACAUAAUUUGCAUAUUUUUUUUUCAAAGAAUAUUGAUGUGUUGUGUAAUGGAAUGGUGGUGCCUGUAUUUUGUGCUUUGUGAUUGAUGACUUACAUUUUCCCCAAAAAAAAGGAAACGGAUAGGCUUCCUUUUGAAUGGUGACCUUUUAUGAUAUGAAUCGCAUGUUUCUUGAGGUUUUUUUAAAUUUUUUAUAAGACACUUGAAGAAGGAAAUUCAUGUUCUCUUUCUCAAUAUAAAAUGACUAAUUUGAAGAAUACUUAUUAUAAUAGAACGUAGAACUCGUAUGUAUUUUAGUAUAAAAAUUCUGUACAAUAAAAAGUUUUUUAUGUGAAGUCGAUCGACACUAUCACAUUAUCAUAUUACCAUUCAAUUCUUCAUUUUUAUCUAAUUAAAAUGAUAAAUUAAAGUUGAUACGAGAAUAUUAAAGAAGAUUGGACCUUGGAGGGCAAUGUGAAUUUUGAACCGGCGCCAUUUCAGCUCCACCUACUCUAUAAAUAAAUGAUUAUGAGUGAUAGAACAAGAUCAGCUGAUACAGAGAGAGACUCUCGACUCUUAAUAGUGAGCAAAAAAAUGGUGCGCAACUUCUUUUUGAUUAAAAUUUAAUGAUUUCUUCGUAUUAGGGUGCGUUUGGGAUUGAGGUGCUAUAGCUUUUAAGCUACAGCUGCUGUGAAAAAAAAAUUGUAAUUAUAAACAAAAGUUAAUAAUAUAUAAUAAAUAUAAAUUUUGAUAAAAUUAUUAAAGAUAUAAUAAAUUUUAUAUUAUACAAGUGAAAAAUCAUAUCAAUGUAGCUUAAAAACUACAACAGUUAGUGUUUACCAAACACUUUAAUACCGUAACUUUUAAGCUACAGCUGCCCAACCUCAAUCCCAAAAGCACCCUUAAUCAAAUUAAUCAUUAUUAUAUAUUUAUUUAUUUAUUUAUUUUUCAACUUCAGAAGAAUCUGUUUUGUUGUUCUCCUCCUCAAGUGCCUACUUUUCAGUGUGCAAGGAUGUAUGUUGAGGGCAGCGGAUGAAAUCGCUAAACUGUUGGGGGUAGAGGAGGCGGGAGAGGAGAUGGUUCCCAUUUCCGCCCUUGCUUUCCUCCGCUUGGCUGCAAAAGUUCAUCACAAAUCAACUCCGUUACAUUGUUACUGGUCUUUUGCUUAUUUAUUUUCAAUGUCUUAUUAUGUUUUUAAUUAUGAGUUCAUGAUUUGAGUUGAGUUUUGUUGUUCUCCGCCAGCAUUGUUUUAUUUUCAAUGUCUUAAAUUAAUUAUGAGUUCAAGGGCUGUCAAAUUGGACCAAGUCUCGUGGCAAGAAUUAAUUUUUCACCGUUUCUUUGAGAUUCUACCACCGUAAUUUAAUUUUCACUUGAUCGAUUUCAACAAAAUCUCUCAAAAUUGUUGUCCUGAGCUUGCGGCAGCUUUCAUCACCGGCGAAGGCUGAAGAUUCAAGCAAUAGAGCUGCUCAUGAUGAGGGGAAGGAGAAGAGGACCUAACGAGUUUGCAAGAGCGUGUAUAGAGGAAUAAAGCGGAUGCCAUGGGGGAAAUGGGAAGCUGAAAUUUGAGGCCCUUACAGGGGCGUCCGCUUUUGCCUCGGCACUUUCAACACCACCGAAGAAGCCGCAAGAGAUUAUGCUGAAGCCGCCAAGAGUAUUCGCGGCAACAAGGCCAAGCUCAGCUUUGUUCUGCCGCCGCCGCCAAUAACUCCACCUCCAGCUAAGAAACACUGCAUGUUAUCUCCUGAGUUGACUCUGCCGUGUUUUGAAGAUUACUUUUUUAUUGGUUUAUGCAUUUGAGUUUACAAAGAAAUGGUAUUCUUUGUCCCCAUAUUGUGAACACUUGGGCUUUUAUUGUUGAAAAUUACCUUUUUUGCGCUGCUCUUAUCUAUGAGGUUGUGCUUUCCUUUGGAUGCUCUUUAAUAAACAGCUUUCCUAAUGACAACUGAAGUGAAAAGUCAUUUAUCAAAUGAUUUGGUGAAAUAUCAGGUACUUUCAUCUUGGUUUUUGCAGUUAAUAGGAAUAGGUUGGUGUUGGGAUGUGCUACAUGUAUCAAGUUCUUAUCGCUAGUGGAUGUGCCAUCAUUUACUCUCACUGAAUGUAUUAUUAGUUUAUUUAUUGAACACUCCCAAAUCAGUAAAGAAUCCUCAAUUUUCUCUGUUUCCUUUAGAUCCUAGUAGUGUUUUCGCAUGCAUCAACUAGUGUUUAUGCAUGUGUCGGCAAGUGUUUAGACAAUAAAUUUAAAGGUUACGGUGACAUAAGUUGACAGCAAAGGAAGGAUGUAUGCUGCAUUUGAAGGAAGGUGAAAGUUUUCCAUUUUUGUAAAUGAGUUUAAAGCAGGAUAUGUUUAGUUUCAUGAAAUGCUUUCUUAUUUUUCGAUGACGAAGUAAUGUGAGUCAAUAUUCUCUUUAAAUAAUGUUCCCCAGUUCUUGAACGUUCUGCCAAUCUUUAUUUGUUAUUUGAAUUUAAAGAAACUUUCUAAGUGCAUACAUCCAUAUAAAGUUGAAGAUCUUCUAGAAAAGCUGGCAUCCAUCAAGAUCAAGAAAUUUUACUGCUUAGUACGUGUUAUAUUUAUAGAUUGGCUAUUGAAGAAGUAGUAUUUGUACCGAUGCAGAUGCAGGAACUAUACACAUCUAAAGUUUAUGAGAUAUUUUUGUCUUUUUGACUCAGUUAGAUAACUAUCAGUCAGUUAACCAAUUUAUGUUACUCUUGUUUGGCUAGCCAAUUAACAAUUUAUAUUUGCUGGAUUGUAAAGCCGACAUCUGCAAGCCAUAUGUGAUUUUAUUUGAAGGCAAUUUGCUCUAGACUAUAUGCGGAUUUCUAUCAUGAUUUCUAUAAGCUUGAAGGAGAUUUCCUUUUUUGUUUCUUUAAAUGCCUGUGAGCUUGAAAAUUAUACCCGUACAUGUUGAAACCAUUAGAUACCUGCUAAGAAUCAAGCAUAAUCGUGUCCAGUUGAAACCAUAAGUUGGGUCCUGUUUUAUGAGAAAAUUAUGUGUAAUUUGGGUGCAGUAAACCUAGGUUGAAUACCGGGACACAGUAUAAAAGCGAAACCACAUAUUGAAUCUUGCAUAAAGACCUUAAAGAUGUAAUUUUGAAUUGUACAUGAGAUGUUGUCUGGACCAAAUUUCAGCGGCUUUGGUUAGGAUUCAGAAAAGAGAAUUGUAACCGCAGAGAAUGCUCUGUGGGAUGGUUAUAUCCAGGUAUGUAAUGGCCUUAUUUUGAUUCUGGGCUGUUUGAGUUUUGUGCUGCUGUUGAUACUGGUUUUAGCUAUUUUCUGCUACUGUCUUAUUUGCUUUUUUGUUUUUUAAUACUACUUUUGCUGCUGAAUUUUGCUGGUUUCUGCUGUUUCACUCGCUGAUAGCUGCUGUUUAUUACUAUUGUUUGAUACCUUUUGAUUUGCUCCUUUUUUGCUGCUGAUUUUUGCUGUUUCCUUCCGCUGUUUUUGCUGCUUUUGCUGCUUUUGUUGCUGUAUUUUACUGCUUUUACUGUUGAUUUUUGCUGUUUUGUACUCACUGGUUGCUGUAUGUUUAUUAAUAUUGUUUGCUGCUGUUUUAUUUGCUGUUUUUUUGCUUCUAAUUUUUGCUGUUCUCUGCCAUUAUUUGCUGCUGCUGUUGUUUUACUCGCCAGUUGAUGCUGUUUUGUGGUUCGCCUCCUCAAGUGCCUGCAUUUUUCAACGUGCAAGCUUAUAUAUUGAGACUGGCGGAUGAAAUCUCUAAACUGUUAUAACAUCCGAGGCUCCCCUAGAGAAGGAUUUGGUCUUAAUUUGGGGAAGGGGGUUUUUCUGGUUUGUACACAAGUGUAUGCAUUCCUUCAAUCACGUAGCUUUGUGCCCAUGAUUAAGCAUAAAUAAUCAUAUAGACCCGUUUUGUGAUGAUAAUGACAAUUUUAUGAUUCAGACACGUUGUUAGGAACACUGUAUUGGUUUUUCUUUCGCUGUUUGUACCCAUGAUUAAGCAUGUAAUGGCUUUUAAUAAAAAAUAAUAAUAAGAAAUAGUGCUAUAUCAAGAUUAUAAUUUAAACAAAAAAAAAAGAACUUUAUAAUAAGGAUGAGGAUUCAUUUCCAGUUAGAUGAGAUAUAAGAUAUAACAUAGGAAAAAGCCACCUACAUUCUCAAGAUAUAUUUAAAUGGUUAUAUAGAUCCUUUUAGUUUCAUAAAUAAUCAUAUAGACCCGUUUUGUUUAAUAUUAAAAUAAUUAUAUCUUUUAAUUACAACAACCCAAUAAUUGAUUUUGAAUAAAUUUUUUAUAAUAAAUAUAAAGUGGAACUGAAAUAAUAUUACAUAUAAAAUAAGUUAAAAUUUAUAAAUUAUUUUGAAUAAUAAUAUUAAAAUGAUUUUACCCAACCCUCACAUUAAUUUAUAAAAUUUAUAUUAUUUUUCUUACUAUUUUUUUUAAUUACAUCUACAUCGUAUAAAUCUUAAAGUAAAUCUUUAGUUUAAUAGAAUUUAGUAUUAAUAAAAAACCAUUGGGAUAGACUAAUAAUAGCUUAAUAUUAAAAAUAAUUUUCAUUAUAUAUGUUAUUUUAUUAAAUAUAGUUGUUGUAAUAUUUUAUUUGUAUCAUAUGCUAUUUAUUUAUUAUUUUUAUCUUAUUACUAUAUUUAUAUUUAUUUGUAUUGUUAUAAUCAAAGAAUAUUAUCGUCGAAAAGGGAUUUAUGUGAUUAUUUAUGAAACCAAAAGGGUCUACGUAAUCAUUUAAGUAAACCUUAAAAGCGUGAGUGGCUUUUUGCCAUAUAGCAUAUGAUCCGAUAGCCAAGGAAUCAAUUAUGUAUUUCUUGUUUAUGAAAAAAUGAAUAAUCCUUUAACGAGGGUUAUCAUCAAUUGCAAGUUUCUAGUUUGGUUGCUUGGUUCGAGGACUAUGAAUAUUACAUUAUCAUAAUUAGGGGAAAGAAUAUAUGCUUUAGUCUUUAGCUGGUCUACUUUUUUCUUUUUGAUUAACCUCUUGCGGGGAAAGAAUAUUGUAUACACAGCACACUAUAAUACUCUAAUUACCAAUUCUUUUUGUUAUAUUAAAGUUCAUAGUGAUUAAUUUGUCCUUCUUCAACGCAAAACAAUCCCAUUUCAGCACAUCUACAUUCUACAAGGGCCCUCAUUUCUUUUUGCUCCAGCCAAUUGAUAGCAGAAUCAUCGCAGACACCUUGAGCUCCGUCGAAUCAUCAUAGACAAUUGGUGAUUGGUGGGAGCAUUACAAGAAAGGUACGACUCCUUCAAACUGAUAGAUUUGUUUAUAUGAUUCAGCGAUAGUUUUAUAUAUGGUUAAGUUAUAGCAAUAAUGAAGAGAUAAUCAUGUACAUCAUCAGUUAGACGAAUGCACAUACUAAUUUAUUCCUUUACUUGCCAGAAUCAUACAUGUAAAAUGAGAUAACUUUUAAGGUUUAAAACUUUGCAAUUCAUUUAAAAUCUAGUGGGCUAUUAAUUGGUAAAAUCACUCAGUGGUAGUACAAGAGGUUUGUGAAUUGUGAUUCCACCAGUUUAUGUGGGUGGAGCGAGAAUUAUUUUUUUAAUAAAUAAUUAAUAAAAAGUAAUAAUAAUAUUAAUAAAAAGACAUAAAUUUCAAGGUUUAACACUUUACAAUUCAUUAGAAUGUAGAGAAAUAUAUUGCUUAAAAUUUUUUUAUCUAAUUAAUUUACAGGCGGGGAUAUAUAUAUAUAUAUAUAUAGUGAGGCUAUUUGCACAAUCUUGGGCUUUGAACACAUAUUAGGAUGAUGAUAUUUGAACCAACUAAAAUACACUCUGCAUUCAUUUCUCAAUAAAAAAAUUUAUUACAAGAUUUUCUUAAUUAAAUUUUUAUUUUUGCCAAAUAUUAUGUUCGUUUCUCUCCCAAAAGUUUUUUUUCCACCAUUUUUUCUCUUUUCUCUCUCUCUCCUCUCCCCAGAUGUCUUCCAGUCCUUUGUGAUUCUUAUAUUUUGAAGCUUCCGUUGGAGUAAAAUCUCUUUAAAAUUUUCUUAUAAAAAAAAGGCCUUUUAAAAUUUGGCUUAAUCUUAUAUGUAUAUGAUCUCGAUGAAACUUUAGUAAAUGAGUUUCUACUAGAGAUGGCAAAAUUCUCCAUGGGUUUGGGGCCCCAUAGAAUUCCACCCCAAAUUAGGUGAAUUUUGAAUACUUUUUGGGGAAUGCCAUGGGGAAUGAGGGAAAAAUAAUCCCAAAAUUCUUAAUGGGGUGAAGUUUGGUUUUGUACUCUCUACCCCAUCCCCACCCCAAUCCCCAUUAUAUAUAAAUAUUUUUUAAUUUUUAUUUAAUAAUUUUUGUUUCAUCAGUUACAAUGUAUGUUAAUAAUUUUUUUUUUAUUUUUACUUGACAUAAAUGAGCUAUAACUAAAAGAAAACCUUACAAUAUAAUUUUUAUUCAAUCUAAAACAUUGUUAUGUGUUCUCUUCUGUCUUAAGAUACUGCUCUCUUCAAACAUUUUUCAAUUUUGAUAUCAUUUCAAGAUAUUAUUUCAAACAUUUGGAGAUUUUUUUAAAAUAAUUUAAAUACUUUAUAAUAUGGUAAUGAUUUUCUUUUUAACUGAUAUUGUUUUCUCUUCAGUAUCAGUUACAAUGUAUGUUAAUAAAUUUUCUUUUUAUUUUUACUUGACAUAAAUGGGAUAUAACUAAAAGAAAACCCUACAAUAUAAUUUUUAUUCAACCUAAAACAUUGUUAUGUUUUCUCUUUUGUCUUAAGAUACUGCUCUCUUCAAACAUUUUUCAAUUUUGAUAUCAUUUUAAGAUAUUAUUUCAAACAUUUGGAGAUUUUUUAAAAUAAUUUAAAUAUUUUAUAAUAUGGUAAUAAUUUUAUUUAAGCCUUUAGUUUUUAAUUUAUUGAAAUCAUGUAUUUAUGUCUACUAUAAAAUAAAUAAAUGGGGAACGGGGUGGGGAUGAGGAAAUCAUUCCCCACGUGGGGAUUCACAAUGUCCACCCCACUAAAUUUAUUGGGGAAUGGGGUGAGGAAUGGAGACAAAAUUUUUAAUGGGGUGGGGAAUGUGGUAGGCCUCCUCACCCCCACCCCACCCCACUCCAUUGCCAUCCCUAGUUUCCACUAGAAAUGAAAAGAUCACAAAACAAAUAUCAAAAGAUCACCAACUUAAUUAUAUUGGUAGUAAUUAAUAUAAAUAAAAGACUUAUUAUUUCUGCUUGAAGUUGAUAUGAUAAAAAAAAAAAAGAGUAAGCCACUGCAAUUGCAACAAUGGAGGAUUUGUUAAUAAGACUAUUGCAGAGAUAAGUUUUAAUUGAUAAAGAAGAUUUAAUAGAAAGUAGUGAGAAAAACAACUUAUAAAAAUUAAUGAUAUUUAUUAUGGGUAUAUUAUGAAUAUUUGUGGCCUCGUCCAUCUUAUUAUGAUAAUUUUUUUAUUACUACCAUAACCCUAGUAUAGUUUACUGUUAAGGGCAACGUCAUGAAAAUUUUGUUACUCUUAUACUUAUUGAAGAUACAUUAUUAUUUUGGACAUGCGAGAAUCCAAUGUCCAAGUAAAAUAUUUAGUAGAAUCUAUGAGAACUCUAAGGGUAGGGAGAAUUUUGUCAAGGUAUUUCAGUUGUAUUUAAUGCUCUUUGCUAGUGUAAACUAUUAUGCCACGUGUAAUUUUUUAUCAUGACACGUGGCAUUGUAAAUAAUGACUCUUAUUCCAGGUCUUCGUAGGUACUCCGGAGGUACGUUCGCUCUAAAGUUAGUAUUAGGUUAUCAUGUGCUUCUUUUAAUGAUAAUGCAGAAAAAUAAAAGAUUAAUAGAUAAGAGAAAUUAGGUUUUUGAAUUAUGAAAAUUUUAUUAAAAAAUUCUAAAUGAACAAAACUAUGGUUUUGUGCCCUUUUUUUAUACUAAACCUUAAUAUCACAAAUUUACUAAAAUAACCAAAUCUAAAAUAUUAUUUUAUAAUAAAAUUCUAAUAAUCCAAAUAAGGAGAACAAAAAAAAUUGUGUCCAAAUUCGAUAUUUAAAUAUAAAAUGAAAAUCCUAAAAGUAAUAGGAAAAAUAACUUAAAACUGUGAAAUAACUAGGGCAAAAUAACAUGUGCAGUUUUGGUUUGAUUUGUCUUAUCGUAAGUUUCGAAAGGGUAUAUUAUAUACCUACAAUGAAUACUUGUAUUCCAAGUUAUGACCUUCGAAAAGUACCUUGCUUACCCUACACAACCAUCUUACAUCAAUCCCCCUCACUUGGAAAAGAACUCAUCCUCGAGUUAGGCUAGUACAACUACUCAUCAUUUGGAUGAUAUACAAACAAAUCAGCCAUGUCAAAAGUGUGGGAGAUAUUCUAAUUGUAUGGCAGCUAGAGCAUAUAAGAUUAUCGUUAAUCUUUUUAGCCACACAAAAUGGACUAUACUUCCACUUCUCUAAUUUCGUGCAAAUGCCAGGAAAAUGAGUAUGUUACAGAUGUGCCAUCACCAAAUCACCUUCCUAAAACACUUUCUUGCGUUUGUGCUUGUCUGCAUCAGCCUUGUACUCAACAUUGACAGUCUUUAAAUGACCUCACACAUCAACAUGAAUCUGCAGAGUCUUUUCUGUCACAUUAUCCACUGCUUUACUACCUCUAGCUACUGUUGGUAUAGUAGUUAGAUCAUAGACAUGACUUGGGGAACAAGUGUAGACAACCUCAAAAGCAGCCUUGCUAGCAGAUCAUUCGUCGUGCUAUUGUAAGAAAACUCAACUUAAGGCAACACGAUUUCCCAGUUUUGUUGUUUAUCGCCAUAAACAUAGCACAACAUAUUAGCCAAAGUUUGAUUGACCACUUUUGUUUGUACAUCUCUGUGGGGAUGGGAAGCACUACUAAACUACAACUAUGUCCCGAACAUAUCUCACAGAUAAAGCUAAGACUUGCUAAUGAACUUUGCAUCCAUGUCAGAAGUAAUAGUCUUUGGAAUACCAUGCAAAUGCAUCACUUUUUGAAAGAAAAUAUGUGCCACAAAAAAAGCAUCUUUAGUCUUCUUGCAAUUAAUAAAAUGCGUUAUCUUUGACAAUCUGUCAACAAUAACUAGUAUAGAGUCUCAACCAAUUCUUGUACAAGGCAACCUCAACAUAAAGUUCAUGGAUAAAUCUAACCAAAUAUUCUCUGAAACAUGUAAUGUGUGUUUAAUCUCCUAUUCUGCAAUUGUCCCUUGCCUUCUUGACAAAUCUGACACCUCUGCACAAUCCUGUGAACAUGUUUAUUCAAUUGCAACCAAUAAUAUCACUUUUCGACAAGCACUUUAUGCAGCUCAUGGAUAAUGUGCUCCCUCAAAGAACUACAAGGCACACACAAUUCUUUAUCAUUAAACAAAUAUCCAUCUUGAAUGAGAAAAGUCUUUCAUAUUUUAAUGAUUGAUGUACCAAUCCCAAAUAUGCGAAACAGUAACUUCAUUGACGAGUGUUGCUAGUAAAGUUGCUCGCCUACUUAGAGCAUUCACAACUUUAUUCUGCUACUUAGAUUUGUGUUUCAAAACAAAAAGAAACUUAUACUUAUAGCUCAUCCAUCUCGCAUGCAUCUGGCUCAUAUUUUUUUGGCUGUUAAAGUACUUUAAUGCUUGAUGGUUAGUGUAAAGCACGAACUCCUUUUGAAUAAAGUAAUGCUCAAAUGACUUCAAUAUUUUACAGACUACAAAAAUUCAUGGUCAUACAUAGAUCACUUCUAUUGUGCUUCAUUCAACUUCUCACUCAAAUAAUUAAUUGUUUAGCCUUUCUGAGAAAGGACAGUAGAGGUUGCAAAAAAACCCGCUCGGCCCGGAUAUGGACCGGAUUCGGCUCAUACGGUCCGGGUUUUACUCGGCCCACAUUAAUGAAGAAACCGGUCCCGGAUUUUGAAAAUCAAUACCCGGAUAAUUUUGGACACGGAUUCGGGCAUAACCAUAAAAACCCAGAACCCGGAUCAGUGCCCGGUUAAAAUUUUUUAAUUUUAAAAAAUAAAAUAAUAUAUAUAUAUAUAUAUAUAUAUAUAUAUAUAUAUAAUAAUAAUAAUAAUAAUAAUAAUAAUAAUAAUAAUAAUAUAUGUAUAAUAAGCGUAUUCGUAUAUCCCCCAGAGAUGAUGAUAAGAGUGUAAUAAGUGUGAUGUGAUAUAAAAUAGGUAAUGAGUUGUAAAGUAGAUUCCUUAGUGAUAAGGAUCAAUAAUGCAAAUAAUGUGUAAUAGUGGAUCCUUUGAGCUUAUAAAAGGGAACCCUUUGGUUUAUGUCUAGGCAUCGAGUCUUGGAGUGCAAUCUUGUAUUUGUAAAUCUCUCAUUCCUCUUAAUAGAAGUAAUCUUCGAUUGUUGGUUAUAAUUAAAUUGGUAUCAGAGCCAAAUUUCCCAAAAGGAAACCCCUGGGUGUGCAACAAUAUUAUGCUCUGUGGUUGCCGAAAUACUUCGGAUCCUCCACAUCAGAAAGUUGUUGGAUAGCUACCUGUCCAAAAAAAAAAAAUUUCCAUUCUAAAACACUACAGAGUGAAUUCUGUAAGGUGUGGCGCCCUCUUGAAAAGACUAGGAUUGUUGUAUGUUUAGGGCUUAUGGAUCUGAAGCUGAUUAGGCCCUUUAAGUCUCAUUGGGCCAGCCCAUCAUUUUAUGUCAGCAAGCAUUCAGAACAAAUGAGUGGGAAAAAACGAUUGGUGAUAGACUACAAGAAGCUGAAUGAUUGCUUGCAAGACAUAAGGUACCCCAUUCCACGGAGGAAACACCUUUUAAAGCGCAUAGCUGGAGCAAAGGUAUUUUCAAAGUUUGACAUGAAGUCAGGCUUUUGGCAGAUUGGAAUCAAGGAAGAAGACAGACAUAAAACAACAUUUGUGGUCCCCCAUGGGCAUUAUGAAUGGAACGUGAUGCCUUUCGGUCUAAAGAAUGCACCGUCAGAAUUCUAGAAUAGAAUGGAUGAGGUGUAUAAAUCCAUCUCAGGAUUCUGCCUUAUCUAUAUUGACGAUGCCCUUAUCUUCAACAACAGUGAAAAAAAACAUGUUAAAUAUCUAUCUCAAUUCAAAGCCCUAACCUAUAAGCAUGGGUUAGCUCUGUCAGAAUAAAAAAUGAAGAUAGGUUUUAAUGAGGUAGGAUUUUUUGGGACUACACAUCAAACAGGGAUACAUCAUUCUUCAGCCACACAUGGCUGAGAAAAUAUCCCAAUUCCCAGACCGGCCGUCAACAAGAAAGCAGAUCCAGCAAUUUCUCGGGAUAAUCAACUAUGCAAUAGACCAUGUGCAGAACCUGUCAAAGAUGACGAGUUAGAUAUCCAAGCACUUAAAGAAAUGUGCCCCACAGUGGUCGGAAGAAGCGACAAAAGCCGUGAUAGACUUAAAGGAAAAGUGCCAGUCACUUCCACCAUUAAAGAUACCUGACAAUGGACAACUCAUCUUGCAGACAAAUGCUAGUGACUAUUAUUGGGGAGCACUGCUGAUAGAAGAAUCCGAGGGAAAUAGGAAAGUAUGUGGCUAUAAAUCUGGCCAGUUCAAUGAUGCUCAGAGUCACUGCCCUUUAUCAAAGAAAGAGGUCUUAGCAGUCGUCAAAGGGAUUAAGAAAUUCUAAUUCUUUCUUUCAUUAACCCCCUUUGUAAUUGAAACAGAUUACAAGUACCUCCAAGGAUUACUAAGGAGAAAAGAAGGAGAAAUCCCAGAUCCACAACUUGCAAGGUGGUCUGAGUCUCUCUUGAGAUUCAAAUUCGAAGUAAGACACAUCAAAGGAGAAUCCAACACUGUUGCGGAUUUCCUUUCCAGACCAAUCAACAUGAUCAAAAGAAGAAGCCUUCCAAAGAGGUGGGAAAAAGGCAGCUUUAGUGCUCAUGAGACUAGAGCACACUUUCUCAAAAAUCUCAACAGUUUCAUUGCGUGGCUUCCUUAGGAAGUACAAGAAGAAAUCUUUGAGAAAGUUAUCAAUCACAGGAGAGAUCCAGAAGAUCAAGCUCUAACAUGGCGGGUAUGGCAGCUCAUGGCCAUGCAAGAACAUAGACUUGCUCACAACAAGAAAUGUCAAAGAGCUUUUAAUCCACAUCAUAAUCCUCACUAGAUGCAUGAAACAAUUUUCAAAAUAGGUUGUACAUUCCAUUAUGUAAUAGAUGAGAACUCCAACUGGGGACAUUAUGUUAUUUGUGACAUAACCCCUCAGGCUUAUUACAUAACCUACUGGUAUUGGCUGAACAUCUACCCUGUGGCAAUACUGUUCGAGCCAAAUCUUAUUCACACCAGUCGGAGAUACGAAAAGGGAAGGUGGUUUGACCGGAUGUUUGCCCCAAUCUUUGAAGAUAUCUUCACAUUCAAAUUGAUUAAUGGAUAUCACAUCACUUAUACUACAAUAGUGAUUGUGAAGCUAACAGAUAUCUGGGGAAGAUACAAAUAGCCUAUGGUACAGGUAGUACAACAUGACCACUCCCAAGAAGACAUCGACUCCAUAUGGACAGGCUGCUGGACUGCAAGAAAAGCUCUCGCAGAAGUAUAUGGGACUAUUCCCAUGUAUAUUACGCACAGUCCUAUUUCCCCACAAGUCUGUAGUACUCUAGAUCUUUACUACAGGGAAGAGAUCAGAAACCUCAAACUUCAUAACGACGAAGAACAAGCAGCAGACAUACAACAAAGGUACAACGACUACUUUAUCAGGCAUGGCAGGCCAAUAGAAGUCAAUUAUCUGGAUACUCCAGAUAUUGACAGAUGGAGGAACGAGUGUGAAGAAAUGGCUGAUUUGCUAGACCUUCAAGAAUGACACCAACAAGAACUUAACCCAUAAUCAGAUAAUGUAGUCGAACCGGAUUGGCAGCAACUGGCAGUUGACAUGGAAGCAGCAUCCAAAGAAAGGUGGAAUCGUAGGUCAAGAAUGAGUACGCUGACAAGUGGUAACUUUGGGUUGUAGCGGAAGCUUAGCGGACCCUGCAGUAGAAGCAGUGGUGAUAAUAAUAUAUGUAUAAUAAGCGUAUUUGUAUAUCCCUCAGAGAUGAGGAUAAGAGUGUAAUAAGUGUGAUGUGAUAUAAAGUAAGUAAUGAGUUGUAAAGUAGAUUCCUUAGUGAUAAGGAUCAAUAAUACAAAUAAUGUGUAAUAGUGGAUCCCUUGAGCCUAUAAAAGGGAACCCUUGGUUUAUGUCUAUGCAUCGAGUCUUGGAGUGCAAUCUUGUAUUUGUAAAUCUCUGAUUCCUUUUAAUAGAAGUAACCUUCGAUUGUUGGUUAUAAUUAAAUUGGUAUCAGAGCCAAAUUUCCCAAAAGGAAACCCCUGGGUGUGCAACAAUAUUAUGCUAUGUGGUUGCCGAAAUACUUCGGAUCCUCCACAUCAAAAAGUUAUUGGAUACUGAGUUACCUGUCCAAAAAAAAAAACACUUAUUUUAUUAUAACCAACAAUCGAAGGUUACUUCUAUUAAGAAGAAUGAGAGAUUUACAAAUACAAGAUUGCACUCCAAGACUCGAUUCCUAGACAUAAACCAAAUGUUCCCUUUUAUAGGCUCAAGGGAUCCAUUAUUACACACUAUUUUCAUUAUUGAUCCUUAUCACUAAAGAAUCUACUUUACAACUCAUUACUUACUUUAUAUCACAUCACACUUAUUACACUCUUAUCCUCAUCUCUAAGGGAUAUACAAAUACACUUAUUAUACAUAUAUUAUUAUCACCACUGCUUCCACUGUAGGGUCCACUAAGCUUCCGCUACAACCCAGAGUUACCACUUGUCGGCGUACUCAUUCUUGACCUACGGUUCCACUUUUCUUCGGAUCCUGCUUCCAUGUCAACUGUCAGUUGCUGCCAAUCUGGUUCGACUACAUUAUCUGGUUGUGGGUUAAGUUCUGGUUGGGGUCAUUCUUAAAGAUCUAGCCAACCAGCCAUUUCUUCAAGGUCGUUCCUCCAUCUAUCAAUAUCUGGAGUAUAAUUGACUUCUCUUGGCCUGUCAUGCCUGAUAAGGAAGUCGUUGUACCUCUGCUGUAUGUCUGCUGCUUGUUCUUCGUCGUGAUGAAGCUUGAGGUUUCUGAUCUCUUCCCUGUAGUAAAGAUCUGGAGUACUACAGACUUGUGGGGAAAUAGAACUGUGAGUAAUAUACAUGAGAAUAGUCCCAUAUACUUCUGCGAGAGCUUUUCUUACAGUCCAGUAGCCUGUCCACAUGGAGUCGAUGUCUUCUUGGGAGUGAUCAUACUGUACUAUAUAUACUAUAGGCUGUUUGUAUCUUCCCCAGAUAUCCGUUAGCUUCACAAUCACUAUUGUAGUAUGAGUGAUGUGAUAUCCUUUAAUCAAUUUGAGUGUCAGGAUAUCUUCAAAGAUUGGGGCGAACAUCCAGUCAAACCACCUUCUCUUUUCGUAUCUCCGACUGGUGUGAAUAAGAUUUGGCUCGAACAAUAUUGCCACAGGAUAGAUGUUUAGCCAAUACCAGGUUAUGUAAUUGGCCUGAGGGGUUAUGUCACAAAUAAUAUAAUGUCCCCAGUUGGAGUUCUCAUCAAUUACAUAACGGAAUGUAUAACUUUUUUUGAAGACUAUUUCGUGCAUCUAGUCAGGAUUAUGAUGUGGAUCAAAAGCUCUUUGACAUUUCUUGUUGUGAGCAGGUCUAUGUUCUUGCAUGACCAUGAGCUGCCAUACCCGCCAUGUUAGAGCUUGAUCUUCUGGAUCUCUCCUGUAAUUGAUGACUUUCUCAAAGAUUUCUUUUUGUACUUUUGAAGAAAGCCACGCAAUGAAAGUGUUGAGAUCUUUGAGAAAGUGUGCUCUAGUCUCAUGAGCACUAGAGCUGCAUUCUUCCCACCUCUUUGGAAGGCUUUUUCUUUUGAUCAUGUUGAUUGGUCUGGAAAGGAAAUCUGCAACAGUGUUGGAUUUUCCUUUGAUGUGUCUUACUUCGAAUUUGAAUCUCGAGAGAGACUCAGACCACCUUGCAAGCUGUGGAUAUGGGAUUUCUCAUUCUUUUCUUCUUAGUAAUCCCUAGAGGUACUUGUAAUCUGUUUCAAUUACAAAAGGGGUUAAUGAAAGAAAGAAUUGGAACUUCUUAAUCCCUUUGAUGACUACUAAGACCUCUUUCUUUGAUGAAGGGUAGUGACUCUGAGCAUUAUUGAACUGGCCAGAUUUAUAGCCACAUACUUUCCUGUUUAUGUCGGAUUCUUCUAUCAGCAGUUCUCCCCAAUAAUGGUCACUAGCAUCUAUCUGUAAGAUGAGCUGUCCAUUGUCAGGUAUCUUUAAUGGUGGAAGUGACUGGCACUUUUGCUUUAAGUCCAUCACGGCUUUUGUCACUUCUUUCGACCACUGUGGGGCACCUUUCUUUAAGUGCUUGGCUAUCUGACUCGUCAUCUUUGACAGGUUCUGCACAUAGUCUGUUGCAUAGUUGAUUAUCCCGAGAAAUUGCUGGAUCUGUUUUCUUGUUGAUAACUGGUCUGGGAAUUGGGAUAUUUUCUUAGCAAUGUGUGGCUAAGGAAUGAUGUAUCCCUGUUUGAUGUGUAGUCCCAAAAAAUCUACCUCAUUAAGACCUAUCUUCAUUUUUUAUUCUGACAGAGCUAACUUAUGCUUAUAGGUUAGGGCUUUGAAUUGAGAUAGAUGUUUAACAUGUUCUUCUUCUAUGUUGCUGAAGAUAAGGGGAUCGUCAAUAUAGAUAAGGCAGAAUCCUGAGAUGAAUUUAUACACUUCUUUAAUUCUAUUCUGGAAUUCUGACGAUGCAUUCUUUAGACCGAAAGGCAUCACGUUCCAUUCAUAAUGCCCAUGGGGGACCACAAAUGAUGUUUUAUAUCUGUCUUCUUCCUUGAUUCCAAUCUGCCAAAAGCCUGACUUCAUGUUAAACUUUGAAAAUACAUUUGCUCUAGCUAUGCGCUUCAAAAUGUGUUUCCUCCGUGAAAUGGGGUACCUUAUGUCUUGCAAGCAAUCAUUUAGCUUCCUGUAGUCUAUCACCAAUCACUUUUUCCCACGCAUUUGUUCUGAAUGCUUGUUGACAUAAAAUGCUGGGUUGGGCCAAUGAGACUUAGAGGGCCUAAUCAGCUUCAGAUCCAUAAGGGCUUGGAUAUCUGUUUUGCAUAGUUCUUCAUUAUAGGCAUGCCUGUAUGAGAGGCUGUCUGGUGAGGCAUGAUCCAUCCAUAUUUGUAAGGUAGAGACACAAAAUGUUGUUCUCUAGCCCAGAACUGAUUAGGAACUUCUGCACAACAUUCUAAGAGCUCUUUGAUCUGGAUUUCAUAUUUAUGGAUAGGGUAAUUUUUUAUCUUUCUACCCUCUCCAAAAUAGAGUAUUUUUCGACCCAAGGAACUUGGAAAACAUGAGUGUUACCAUCCAUAGGAUUAUGGACCGUGUAAGAGAAUCAUUCUGGAAAGAAUGCAAAAGGGGCAACAAGACUUAAAAAGUCUGUUCCCAAUAAGAUAUCUUCUCUAAAAUAAUCAAAGGCAAAAAAUCCAUGCCUAAUCAUGAAGGGUUGGAUCUCUAUUGGUCGUGUGAUCUUUUUGCUGUAGAAGUCCCUGCUGCUUGCUGAUCCAAAAGAAACUCUUGUAAGAAUAUAAAAUUCUUUAGGAACACAAGCCUCUUUGAUGAACGAGCACAUUGCUCCAGUAUCAAUUAGAGCAGUAAGUGCUACCUGGGUAUCUUCUGUUGGUUUGAGGAUGAUUUUAAUGUGUGGUCUGAAGAGAGAUGUUGGUUGCAUAGCUAGAUCUACUUGUAAAGGUUCUUUGACUACCAGUACAGAGUCUUCUUCUUCCGAACUGCUUUAGUUACUGGUAGUGGUCUCUUCUCCGCCAAUGUCUGAAAGUGGGUUUCCAUUUAAGGUAUAGACAGCUCCAAGCAGACUAUCUGACCAAGUGUAGAUUUCGUCAUCAAAAUCUUCCUGCUGAAUCAUUUGGAGGAGUUUUACUGGAAGUCGCUUCUUGGAUUUGCAUUGCUUUGCAUAGUGACCUUUCUUGCCACAGAUGAAACACCUGCCAGAGCCCUUAUUCUAUUUUUGCCUUUUAAUGAAGCGGUACUUCUUUCCUUUGUAGGGUUUCCAGGGCCUUUUCUCUUUUCUCUGUUUGCCAGUACUGCAAGAACACAUUUUAUCUGUAUGUUGGCAACCAAAUUUAUUUGGUUCCUCAUUGCAAAAUUUCUGCAAAGAUGAUUUUUCAAUGUGCUUCAUGUGCUUCCUUAGAUCUUGUGAUCUGCAAUGGCUCUGGAUUAAUUCCAUCGCCAUCUGAUAGGGUUGGGCUAUGCUGAGCACUGAUAAAUCAACAAUUGCAUCAGCUUUUAGAUUUGCCUCCAUCAUUUCUGCAACUGGUCCUGGCAUGUUCAGCACGAACGUUCUGUGGAUGGUGUUCGAGUUUUUGUGAAAGGUAUAGUAUAGCCUUUCCUGUUCUAGGUAGUAUUCUUCCAUCUUUCUGACAUCACAGUACUUGUUUUGGAGAAAUUGCUUUUCUGCAACCUCUUCUUCUCUUGUGAAUUGCCCUAAGAAAUCUAAGGAUAGAUUUUCUAGAAGGCUUCCAUAAGGGUAAUCCAUGUUCAGUAUGUGCUGUCUUUCUUCUCUUAUGAGUUUUCUUCCCCACUAUCUUCUCAACGAGCUUAUGAAUCCUGCUACAAGCCUCAUAGCAGCUGCUCUCCUGCUUAGCUGAGGGGCUCUUUGACAUUCGCCUUCGUACCAAGCCACCAUUUUCUCAAAAUAAGCCAAUCUUUUUUUUGGCUUCAUUCCGUCAAUGUUCCAGAACAUUUUCCCAGUUGUUGAGUGCCCAAGUUGUACUCUGGUGUCUCAUUCUUCUCCUUAUGACACUUCUUCCAUAGUUGGUACUUGUUCAGCUGGAUUGGAAGAUUCUACUCCAGAUGCUGCUGGUUGAGCAGUAAAUUCUGGGGCAGUAAACUGCGUUGUUCCUGACGGAUUCUGGGUUGGUACUUGUCUGCUAGGAUCAGAAGUUUGACCAUGUUCAUGUGUUGAGGCAGUAAAUCUUACUCUAGUAUCCGUGUAGAACGGCGUUGCAGGAUUGGUUCUUUGCAUAAGAAUAGGUAUAAAAGGGAACUGGUUUUCUGAAGUAUCAUAUGAAGAGAUACUUAUUUCUUUUUCAUGAUCCCCUUUCUUCUUCCCAUCAUGUGCCCUUUUGGGGCCAUGGGUAUUGGGGAGGAGGAGCAUAGCUUCUCCAAAAGGCUUUCUGACAGUUGCCAGAUGUAUUUUCUUCCCAAAUAUGACAUGGCUUUGUAGACUUGCUUUUCCAGUGCCUAGAUACCUUCUUGGUAUAGCACUCUUUUGUUUUCUCUAUUUCAUCUUUAUUUGCAGCACCUGUCAUCACUAUCAUAUUAACAGGUCUGCUAUUUUCAUGGAGUUGUGAAAACUGCUGGGUAGUUAUCUUGUGAGUUUUUCUAGUCUUUUUUAGCUGUUUUCUUAUGGCAGCUAAGUCAACAAGUAUUUGCUGUUGGGUGACCAUGAUGUCUCCUAGCGCCUGAUUUUGCUCCACAGUAUUGAUGUUUGACCAGUUGAGUGCUUUUUCAAUUGGACCAAACUCAGUUGGGUUGCUCUUCUGUAUUACCCACUUAGUUGAGUAUACACCACCAGGAAUAUCCCUGACAAAUUCAUUAUCAAGGUCUGGGGUACUGAUCAUGGUUACUGGACUCAUGAUUCUGCAAGAGGUUGUUCUCUUUGGAUGUGUGUGCACAAGGAGGGAUGUUUUCCUUUAAGUUGACAUUUUUCACAUGGGUAGAAGGCUUUAGUCUCUGUUGGGAAAGAGACUGAUACCCUUCCUUCUUGCAACCUGCUAAUCUUUGGAGCCUCAUGGAUCUACUGAGGCCUGUUGUUUCUUUUGUACUCAUUGAUCCAUUGUGGUGGAAAAAUGAGUUGAUUUUGCCUAUAAGUCCUGGGCUGAAAGACUCUGCCAUCACCAGCAAGGAAUCUGGUAAUAGGUUUUCCAGAGCUGCUCAUAGAGAACAUAUGGGUUUGGACUUUAUAGGUCAUGGAGUGGUGAAUUGCCAAGGCAGAUUCAUCAGGUUUUAUGGUUAAUCCAUUUACCUGGAUUAAUACCUUAAUGACAUCUGUGAGGAAAGGCUUGUGUAUAUCAAGGGUGAAGUUUGGUUCAACUUGGAGAACAACAUGACUUUGGUUGAGUCCUGCUUCAACAACAGUAAUCAAGGCUUUCUCAAAAGUUUGCCAUCUAGUAUCUAGAAUGGCAAUGAAACAUGUGAUGUCUUUCCAGCUAAGAACAAUAGUUGUAUUCCUAUAUGGAUGGCUCCAAGGUGCAGUCCCUUGUAUCCCUGCAUCUUGUACCUUGUAACCUCAUUGGUAGAGAUUAUAGGUAGGUACGUUUCUUUUGAACUAGAGGAGAUGGACUGGACAAUGAUUUCUGAGGAUUUGUAGAUGGUUUUUAGUUUGGGCUGUCUAAUGGGGAUUAUGGCUCUAAGAUGGUUUAGAGUAUGGCUAAUAUGGUAAUAUCUAUAAGGAUCUAACGGAUCAAGUCUAAAGGACUGAACCGCUCUCUCACUGCUUUCAUCCUCUUGGGUUUUAUAAUUGAAGUUUAUGGAGGGUGAGCUAUCAGUUGGGACUCUGAUGGCCGAGGUGGAUGGUUGGUCAGAAAUUGGUUGGUUUCCUGUCUAUUACUGUUUUGGUUUUCCAUAGCUAAAAGAAAUCAAAGAGUUUUCUUUGGGGUUAUAAGCCCUAAACACAUGGUAAUCCUAGCCUUUUCAAGAGGGCGCCACACCUUACAGAAUUCACUCUGUAGUGUUUUAGAAUGGAAUUUUUUUUUUUUUUUGGAUAGGUAGCUCAGUAUCCAACAAUUUUCUAAUGUGGAGGAUCUAAAGUAUUUCGGCAACCACAGAGCAUAAUAUUGUUGCACACCCAGGGGUUUCCUUUUAGGAAAUUUGACUCUGAUACCAAUUUAAUUAUAACCAACAAUUGAAGGUUACUUCUAUUAAGAGGAAUGAGAGAUUUACAAAUACAAGAUUGCACUCCAAGACUCGAUGCUUAGACAUAAACCAAGGGUUCCCUUUUAUAGGCUCAAGGGAUCCACUAUUACACACUAUUUGCAUUAUUGAUCCUUAUCACUAAGAAAUCUACUUUACAACUCAUUACCUACUUUAUAUCACAUCACACUUAUUACACUCUUAUGCUCAUCUCUGAGGGAUAUACGAAUACGUUUAUUAUACAUUUAUUAUGUGCUGUUAAGGCAAGACUCAACCAAGGUCAUCUUGUUCUCCAAGUUGAACCAUACUUCACCCUUGAUAUACACAAGCCAUCCAUCACAGAUGCCAUUAAGGUAUUAAUCUAGGUAAAUAGAUUAACCAUAAAACCUGAUGAAUCUGCCUUGGCAAUUCACCACUCCAUGACCUAUAAAGUCCAAACCCAUAUGUUCUCUAUGAGCAGCUCUGGAAAACCUAUUACCAGAUUCCUUGCUGGUGAUGGCAGAGUCUUUCAGCCCAGGACUUAUAGGCAAAAUCAACUCAUUUUUCCACUACAACAGAUCAAUGAGUAUGAAAGAAACAACAGGCCUCAGACGAAAUAAGUCCUGGGCUGAAAGACUCUGUCAUCAGUAACAAGGAAUCAUAUGUAUAUGUAUAUCACAUUACAUUUACAAACCCUAAAUCUCUCAUAAACUUGCACUCACAAAGCUGCCGCUCCCACGCCUUCAACACUCUAAGUCAACUCCCUCAUCUUCAACUCUCCAAGCCAAGUAGCCAACCCCCAGCAGCAACAACCCUCACCCCUCCUCUUCAAACACACAAAGAAACCUUAAAUCUCAAUCCAAGAAUAAAUUAAUAGAAAUUAUUUCUUAUUCUUAUUCUUCCUUUUUUUCUCUCUCUUUUCCCACUUCUUAGAUCUUCCCUGUAACUCACCGUGCACAACACCUCCACAUCACAUCCAUGUUUGUGCAGCAACUGUCUUGUUAGUUUGUUCUUAGUUGUUUGAUAUUUUGAAAUUUUCAUAUAUUAUAUUGAUAAUUGAUAUUUUAUUUGUCAAUUGUAAUUAUUAUGCUACUUAAUUUAAGUUUUUGAUGGAGAAUGAAAUGAAUGAAUUUAGGAAGAGAUUGAAUGAAAUGAAUGAAUUUUAUUUAUUUAAAUUUUACAAAGUAGGUUGAAAUAAUUAAGAUGUUGUAACAAUUUAUUACAAGAUUUUUCCCCUUUUAAUUCAAUUUAUGCGGGCAGAGGAAACCUGAAUAAAAAACCCGUGCCCAGAUAGUGCUGGGCUACGCCCUGCUCGCAUAUGAAAAAUCCAGGCAUGGUCUGGGUCCGGACAACUAUGUGUAUCAUGCGGGCCGGUCCCGGGCAGCCCCAAACCCGGACCCGACCUGGACUUUUGCCAACCCUAAAAGAUAGUCCUUAUACCCUUACUAGAAGCAUUACACUCAACUUUAAAUAACUUGUUAAAGUUUGAUACGGUCACCACAAGAGCAGUAUACAACUUCUCCUUUAAUAAAAAAAAAAAACUCGCCUCUUGCUCUUCCCCUUAUUUGAACUUUCUUUCUUCAAGCACUUUGUAAUUGGUGCAGCUUUGGUGUUAAAAAUGUGAAUGAAUCUCCUAUAAGAUAUCACCAGCCCAUAAAAACUCCUAACUUUACCCAUGGUUUUAGGUAUAGGCCAUCCUAUAAUAGCUUGUAUCUUCGACUCAAUAGCUCUAAGUCAUUUUAUACCAACUAUGAAUCCUAAAAACUCCACAUUAAUUUGAAGAAAGCUACAUUUGUUCUGGUUAAUGUAAAGUUUAUUCUUCCACAAGAACUCUAUAAGGAUUCUCACAUAUGUGUCCUAACAUUAAUAGAAUAAAUCAAAUAUUAUUAAAAUAUAUCACAAUAAAUUUACAGGAAAAAUGUUUGAAAAUUCUUGGCGCAUUCGAUAACUUGAAUUGCAUCACGAACUACUUAUACAAUCCUUCUUUUAUUUUCAGCAUUAUUUUUUGUUCAUCUCCAAGCCUAAUCCUUAUCUGAUGAUACAUGUUGCGUAAAUUUAUCUUUGAGAAAAUCCAGGCAUCAUCUAACUAAUCUAGUAAAUCUUAAAACACUGAAAUAGAAAAUCUAUACUUUAUAGUAAUCUGGUUGAUCUGCUUGCUAUUCACAUACAUGCGCCAGCUCCCAUAGAACCAACAAAGUCGGUACAACAUAUGGACUCAUACUUUCAUAAAUGAAUCUUUUUUGCAACAACUUAUUAACCCGUGCUUGUAAGAUUGCGUGCUUGUGAGGACUCAUAUGAUAGUGAGGCAAGUUAGGUAUACUUGUACCAAAAACUAGGUCCAUAUGAUGGUAUAUAUCUCAUAAAGGCGAUAAGCCAUUUGACAUUUCAGAGGGUGUGAUAUUAGUAAACUCGGUUAAUAAAGGUUGCACUUUGUCAUGAAUAGUCUUUACCUUAAAUUCUUCCUCUUUUUUCCAACUUCUGGUAACUAUCACAAUCAUCCUCCAAAGGACUCUUUACAAUGGCUAGAAAGUUCUUCUCUUCAGCCUUAGAAUUCUUCUUCUAGUUCUUUUAAAGGUCCUUAACAAACCUUUUUGCUAUUUUACUAAAAUUCAUAUAUAUUAUCCCUUCUUCUAUGAAUUACAUCAACAUUAAACUGCCAAGGUCUACCAAGUAAAAGAUAACAAGCAUCUACAUCCACCAUGUCACACCACAUCAUUUUUUAUAAAUCUUCCCAAUAAAGAAUAAAACACGACAAACCUCUAUUACUUGUGUUUCUGUCUUUUUCUUUAUCUAACUUAUGUUGUUAAGUACUAGAUGUUUUUCUGUUAAAAGUUCUAUCAUGUCAACCAGUGCCUUUAAACUAUGUUCUCGCUAUUGUCACUAUCGAUUAUCAUUUCGUACACGUUAUCACUAAUGGUGCCAUGUUCCUAAAAAUCUUAUUACGUUGGUUAUAUUUAUCAAGCUUCGUUGCUAAUAAAAUCUUAUGCACAAUAUAAUUCAACAUCUCUCCUUCAUCUAUACUUAACUCUUACUGUUUCUUUGUCAUCUCUAUUCUUAAUAGUGUUUGUCUCUAUCUUGUUGGCUUUAGCUUUUACCAAAUUCAAAACUUUACUAUGACAUUCAUUUGAUCGAUGCCCUGGUGCCCUAUAUCUCAAACACCUGUUUAGCAUAGGCUUUGCAUAUAGAUCAUUCUGAGACUAUUGUUGGUACUGCUACUGUUAGGAUGGAUACUACUGUUUAGGUAGCUGCUACCUUGUUUGUUACUGUUGUGGUGGUUGUUGUGAUUGACUACUUCCAGCCAUGACUUUUGCUUGUUCUCAACCCCACCAUUAAUCGACUUAUUUUGCAGACCAUGGACUUAAUGAUGCUGAGUUUCAAAAACAGCAAACUGUUUUCAUUCUUCUUAUUUCUUUGCCCUUGCGACCAUCAUGCCUAUAUUCUAGAGUGGCUUUAUGAUCUCAUCUUGAAGCUUUUAUUCCAAUCCGCGAAUAUACUUUGCAAUUGUUCUAAAUAUCGACUCAUUUAUAUUAUUUUUGGCAUUUGUACUAUGCUGGCAAGAAAUACUCUUCCAUUAUCCUCUGCAUUUUAGCCCACGAUAUGAUCAUUAGCUUUCUUGCAAUUCUUAUUCAAUUCUCUAUAUGUUGCUACCAAGCGAAUGCCAACCCACUUCUAUUAAGCGAUCUGCAUAUACAUGAAGAAAUUCUAUACUUAUGUUUUCCAAUCUAAAAAUUCUUCAAUAUGCAUCCACCAUAGAAAUCUAGAGGAUCUACAUUGAUCUUAUAAUCUGAAUUCUUUCCGCACCUUCUUUCAUAAUCGACAAACUCGUCUUCCUCCGAAGCGCUUACUACGGCCUCAUGAAUGCACGGGUAUUCAUCUUACAAGACCUAAAUAUUGAGGCAUUACACUGCAAUUGGUGCCCUAAGGCAUUAUUUCAUGAUUAUAUCCUUGCGGUAUCUUCCCAUGGUUAGAAUUUUGAGAUUGUUCUUCACUCUUGACUCCUUAAAGUAUUUCUUUGCUAUUAUCUCUAAGAUGUUGAUCUCUCUUCCUACUUAUAUCGUCAAUAGAAAGCCCAAGACCUUUAAUUGCUACCUUUAUCACCUUUNNNNNNNNNNNNNNNNNNNNNNNNNNNNNNNNNNNNNNNNNNNNNNNNNNNNNNNNNNNNNNNNNNNNNNNNNNNNNNNNNNNNNNNNNNNNNNNNNNNNNNNNNNNNNNNNNNNNNNNNCUUUGAUAAGUUACAUUAUAUGCCCAAAACGAACACCUGUAGUUCAAGUUAUAACCUUCAAUGUGUAUCCAGCUCAUCCUAAGCAACCAUCCUACAUCGUUAAUAACAUUUGAGUUUGAGAUGUUGAAUAUUUAAUCUUAUAGGAGUAAAGAUAGGAAAGAAAAGUAGGCUUAAUUCAUGCUAUUUUAGUAUUAAAUGACAAUUUAAAAUAAAUUAUGUUUUAAAAUUUUAUUACAUAAAGGUAUGGAAAUUGUUCAAAAUAUGUUUUAAGCAUAAACUCCUCCGUUUGAAGUAAUAGUGUCUGACUAGAAAUAGUUAAAUCAACUUAUUACGAUGAGACCCAUCAAAUUUAAUAUUUAAAAAACUUGUCAUCUCAUCAUAGAACACACAACUCUCCAUUUACUAGAGUAUGAGUGGUUGGCAGACACCAUGGCUUACACAAAUAUUUCUAAUAUUUGAAUCCUCAAACCCUUCUAACAAUGCCACCAGUGUCUUUUGUAAGUCAUUGAUAACGGACUAGCCCAGUUGAAUACUUUUCAAUUUAUGGGUCAUAAUCGCCAAUUUCUAGAUAGAACAAAUAUGUACAUGCAUACUAGUAGAUUGAAUGACAACUGACAGCAUAUGAUAUAAUUAACUUAUUUCCGGAAGAAUUAAAAAACAAAAAAAAAACAGUGGAUGAAACAUAAGACUCUUAUGUCAAGAGUUCGAAUUCGUCAAUCAUGUACAGGCAGAUCAACCUUAAGAUAAGUGGGGUUCACAAGAAAAUAGUUUUAAAAAAAUAAAGAGAAAAUUAUUUUAGUUAUUAAUUACUUUCUGUUAAGUCUAUUAAAAUAUCUUGUUAUAUUUAUAUAAAUAGUAAACUCAUCAUAAAUCUAUUAAAUUUAAACUUUCACUUUGAGAAAUAUAAAAGCGCACACUUUAAUUUUAAAAAAUAAAAUCCUACAGUAACUCAUAUUGGUGGUUUUAUUAGUAUUUAAAUUAGUCGUAUUAAAUUUAUUAGGACUAACCUUUAUAAAUUCAUUAACCCAUAAAAUUUUAGUUUUCACAUCUCGUCAUUAUAUAAUUCAGUCCCCGAAAAUUUAUUUUACUGCAUUAAUGUCAAUGGUCCUUCAACUUCCUUAAAAUUGAUGUUCAGCUAUAUUGACACAUUCACUAUUACCACUUUUUUCAGAACUCAUAUGCACUAUUAUAAUUAGAAAUUAAUUUAGCUACUAACAAAUUAAGUCUAUCAACAGAUUUCUAAACCUCACUAAUAAUUCAAAGAUAUUUAUUCCACGAGAAGGUUUUUGGUAUUUAUUCAAUAUUUGCCACAUGUGUAUGAACAUUAUCAUAAUUAGUUGAAACAUACACUUGAUAAGAUGCGAAUGUAAAAGGAACAAUAUUAUUCUAGGAGCUAUCCCUCAAGAAUUUUUCUUACUCCGUGCCACAUGAGUGAAGGAAAUGUCUACCUCAACCUAAUUAUAUAUUAUUGGACAAGGAGUUGUUGAGUUCCCACUAGGGAUUCGUUGGUCCAUUUACCACCACCUUGUAUUUAAAAAUUUUGGUUGAAUUUAUUCAACAGCAACAAGAAUAAUAUAAAUGGAAAAAAAAUACAUUCAAAUAAUAUUCCAUGACUCUGUUUCUUCAAUUUCAGGAACAAUGGUGGAAUCAUUUUUGGCGCUUGAAAAACUUAUGGAAAAAUUAGGGUCUCGUGCUUUCGAAGAACUUUUAUUGUUCUAUUGUGUCAAAAAUGACGCAGAAAAGCUAAAGGAAACCCUAACCGUUGUCAAAUGUGUGGUUUUGGAUGCCGAGGAAAAGCAAGUCCAUAAUCACCAGUUAAGAGAUUGGCUGGAAAAGCUUAAGGAUGCCUAUUAUGAUGCAGAAGAUUUGCUGGAUGACUUCGAGGUGCAAGCUCUACGAAGGCAGGUCAUGAAGCAAAGAAGCAUUGGAAGGAAUUUGCGUAACUUUUUUGGGAGCUCAAAUCCGAUAGCUUUUCGAUGUAGAAUGGGUCAUCAAAUCAAGAAAAUCAGAGAGAGGUUUAAUGAGAUUGCAAACAUGAUGCAUAAGUUUAAUCUCACUCUAGGACUUGAUGAUCGUAAAGGGCAAACUGACAAAAGAGGGAACCUUCUCACUCGUUUGUACGUCCAUCANNNNNNNNNNNNNNNNNNNNNNNNNNNNNNNNNNNNNNNNNNNNNNNNNNNNNNNNNNNNNNNNNNNNNNNNNNNNNNNNNNNNNNNNNNNNNNNNNNNNNNNNNNNNNNNNNNNNNNNNNNNNNNNNNNNNNNNNNNNNNNNNNNNNNNNNNNNNNNNNNNNNNNNNNNNNNNNNNNNNNNNNNNNNNNNNNNNNNNNNNNNNNNNNNNNNNNNNNNNNNNNNNNNNNNNNNNNNNNNNNNNNNNNNNNNNNNNNNNNNNNNNNNNNNNNNNNNNNNNNNNNNNNNNNNNNNNNNNNNNNNNNNNUUGAAUGGUAAGAAAUACUGCUUGUUAUGGAUGAUGUAUGAAACGAAGAUCCCAAAGUAUGGGAUGAAUUGAAAAGUUUAUUGUGGGGAGGUGCUAAGGGAAGCAAAAUUCUGGUAACCACACGUAGCAACAAGGUUCCUUCAAUAAUGGGCACGACAAGAGGUAUUACUGAUUACAACUUACAAGAGCUGCCAUACAAGGACUGCUUGUCCUUGUUUAUGAAAUAUGCAUUUGGAGAAAGGCAAAAGAAACAUCCAAACCUCAUAAAAAUCGGGGAAAAAAUUGUGGAAAAAUGUAGAGGAAAUCCUCUGGCAGUGAGAACACUAGGAAGUCUAUUAUAUGGCACAACAGAUGAACAUUAUUGGGAGUAUGUGAGGGAUAAUGACAUAUGGAAGUUAAAGCAAACGGCAAAUGACAUUUUACCAGCUCUGCGGUUAAGCUACGAUCAAUUAUCGCCUCACCUGAGACAAUGUUUUGCUUACUGUUCUAUCUUUCCCAGGGAUUAUGAAUUUACAAGUAUUUUUUUUAUUCAAUUUUGGAUGGCACAUGGUCUUCUUCAAUCCCCCAAUGAGAAUGAAGAACCAGAAAAUAUUGGUAUGCAAUACUUGAAGGAAUUACUGUCAAGAUCUUUCUUCAAAGAUGUUAGGACCUUGCCGAAUGCUUCAAGCUUCUUUGCAAGAGAAUCAAAGCAUGCAAUCAAUAAAAGAAUAUAACCUUAAGAUCAAUCUAUGAAACUACAAUCACCAAGAAUAAGAAAGAUAAUGGCAAGAAGAUGUAACGUGGUUUGGCCACAAAAAGCCUACAUCCACGGAUGAAACAGUACUUGAUAAGUGCAUAUUUUCCAUAUAUUUUGCUAUUAAUUUCUCUAUCUUUUUCUUGUUUUGGUCUUAAAUAUUCUAGUUAUUUUAGUUAAUUUUUAAUUUAGUAAAUUAUAUUUUAUUAUGUUAAUUUUUAUAUUUUGUUAUUUUAGGUGCAUUUUGGGAAUAAAGAGGAAUUAAAUCAGAAUAUUCAAGUAAGGAGAGCUUAAGGAAGAAACUAAUUAGAAAUUUAAGGAAAGUAAUGGGAGUUAAAAUGGAAGAAAAUCAAAGCAGCCAAGGCCUAAUUGAAGUUCAUACGUGAAGAUGAGAAGAAUUAGCAUUGGAAAUAAUUUAAUUAAUAAGGCAAACACAUUCUUGUGAUGGGCUUUGGCCAAAUUGUUAUUGGCUUAUUAAUUAAAUAAGUCACGUGCAUGGCAUUGAAUUAUGGAAAGCAAAGUGAAACAAAAAAAGGAAAAUGGGCUUGCACGUGAAUCCAAAGAAAAGUAGCGGCUUGACUUUUGUCUUUAAUCCUUUUCAUGUGAGGAUUUAAGGCACAAUAUAAAAGAGGGCAGAUGCAAGGAGAAGAAAAAAAAAAAGCCAACAGCCGCUGGAUGGACAAUAUAAAAGAGGGCAGAUCCAAUUCGGCAGCCAAGAGGAUUUGAGGAACUAGCAGCCGGAAGAAGGAAAAGCAAGGGAGAAACCGAAAAGGAAUUGAAGAAAAGGGCAGCCGCUUGAAUUAAUCUCCAUGAUUGGUUUUGUCAAUUCUCUUAUUCCCAAUUCAAUUAUGUUAGGCUAAAUUUUUAUUUGGUUGAGGGUGAAUUCAAAACCCUAAACAUGCUAUGCAAUUAAAUUUAAAUUCUAUCAUUCAAUUUAUUUAAUUGAGAUUGUUUAUGUUCUUCUAUAAUUAAUGUUCACGUGCAUCUCUUGUAGCUUGAUCCUUGAAAUCUGAUCUUUUCUUUAAGUCUUUGGAUUCAAGAUCAUUCUUGACAUCCUUCAAUGUGAGAGUCUGUCUUCCAUAGAGCAAGGUAUCCACGAAAUGUUCAUAGGAGUCAGGCAAAGAGCUCAACAAAAUAGGAGCUCUAUCUUCAUCUUCAAGCAUGACAUUAACGUUUUCAAGAUCGAGUAUCAAUUUAUUGAACUCAUCAAGGUGGUCUUUCAUGGCUGUCCCUUCCUUCAUUCAAAACGUGUAGAGCUUCCUCUUCAUGUAUAAUCUUUUAGCCAAAGAUUUCUUCAAGAAGAGUUCUUCCAGUUUAGCCUAUAAACCAGAGGCUGUCCUCUCUUUGGCUACUUCUCUCAGCACUUCAUCAGACAAGUGUAGAAUGAUAGUGCUGUGAGCUUUGUUGUUUAUUGUUCUUGAGUCUCCACUAAAACUUGAAGAUCCUUCUUCCUUUUCCCUUUUGGACUUUGAUUCUUCUUCAUCAUCAAGGGCACUAUCCAAGCCCUGUUGAAUCAGAAUGGCUCUCAUCUUAAGACUCCACAGGUAGAAGUCAUUCUCACCAUUAAAUUUUUCAAGAUCGAAUCUUGUGCUACCCAUUAUGCCAGAUCAAGAACAGAGUGUCCUUCUGGCUCUGAUACCAAUUUGUUAGGACCUUGCCGAAUGCUUCAAGCUUUUUUUCAAGAGAAUCAAAUCAUGCAAUCAAUAAAAGAAUCUAACCUUAAGAUCAAUUUAUGAAACCACAAUCACCAAGAACAAGAAAGAUAAUGGCAAGAAGAUGUAACGUGGUUCGGCCACAAAAAGCCUACAUCCACAGAUAAAACAAUACUGCUCUAAGCUUUUAUUAGAAUGAAAAUGGAUGACAACAGGUUAUGAGAUUACAGAGAUAUUAACUCAUCAUAUAAGCUCUAUAUCUUACUCAAAGAAUCUCUCACACGUUCGUUUUGAAGAAUAUCCUUUUGCUGCCCUUUUAUAACACCUCAGCUAUGAAAGAGAAACGUCAACUGUUAUUCUUAACUAACAGUUUUAACAGCCAAAAGAACUCAUGCCAGCUCAGCAUGCCACCUCAUUCAUGUUAACAGAAUAUAACUACUUUCUGGCUUCAUAAAAGAUUUUACUAAUGAUCAGAUGCUUGAAGGAUUUGAGUUAUUCACUUUCAAAAUGCACAACCUCAUCCAUGAUCUUGCACUGCUAGUGGCCAAAGGUGAAUUCCUAAUGCUGAACUCUGAUUGUCAAUCUAUUCCCAAAAGAGUCCGUCAUUUGUCAUUUGUUAGUGCUAGUGCAUCAAGAAAUGAUUUUUCAAGCCUUUUAUCUGAUUUACGUCGUGUAAGAACCAUUUUGUUUUCAAUUAAUGAUGAGAAUACAAGCGAAUCAUUUUUCACGUCAUGCAUCUCAAAGUCGCAGUUCCUGAGAGUGUUAGAUUUAAAUGACUCGACUAUUGAGGUUUUGCCAAGAGAGAUAGGUAAUUUGAAGCACAUGAGAUAUCUUGAUCUAUCAAGAUAUUGUCAAAUCAAGAAACUUCCAAACUCCAUUUGUGAGCUACAGAGUUUACAAACACUUAUACUUCGCGGAUGUUUGAAGUUAGAAGAGUUGCCUAAGGAUAUAAGGUACCUUGUUAGUCUUAGAAUGUUUGUGGUAACCACAAAACAGAAGUCUUUGCAAGAGAGUGGAAUAGCGUGCUUGAGUUCUCUUCGCAGUUUGAUAAUUUCUCAUUGCUGGAAUUUAGAAUAUUUGUUCGAGCAUAUAGGUCAACUAAGUGGCCUUCGAUCAUUAAUUUUAGUUGAUUGUCCUAGUCUAAUCUCAUUGCCAUCAGCAGUGAAGUGCCUCAGCUCAUCAGAGACUCUGAUUUUGAUUGACUGUAAAAGCCUUAAUCUUAAUCUGAACAUAGAAAUGGAAGGGGAAGGAAGUCAUCAUGAUCGUGAUAAUACAAGGACUCACCUCCAGAAGCUUUUCGUUUCGGGACUAAAACAGUUAUUGGAUUUGCCUCAAUGGCUUCUUCAAGGUUCUACUAAAACUUUACAGUUCUUGGGUAUUGAGGAUUGUCCCAACUUCAUGGCACUACAAGGGUCUCUGAAAGAUCUCGAAGCUCUUGAAACUCUUCUCAUUUCUGCUUGUCGAAAAUUGUCAUCGUUGCCGGAGGAUAUACAUCACCUCACUACUUUGAAAACAUUGUCCAUUAAAGAAUGCCCUGCGCUCUGGGAAAGAUGCAAACCGCUAACAGGUGAAGAUUGGUCCAAGAUUGCACGUAUCCCUCGGAUUAUGCUUGAUGACGAGAUGACUAAAUCAAGUGAUAAUUAGGUAUGGAUUGCUUUGUAAUUUUUAAUUUCUCAUUCAGCUAUACCGUUUAUAGUUUACUGUUCUGUUAUGUUUACUAAACAAAAACUCAUUGAAUGUUUAGUUAGUUAGUUCAAAUUUGUACUAAAUAAUUUCUAAUAUAUGAUUAGUUUGUUAAUACAAACUCAAACAUAUUAUUUGGAAACAAAACCGUACUUGGGGUUAUACAUGUUUCAAAAUCCAAACGGUUCAGGAUUUUUGAAAAAGGAAAUUAUAAUGAGAUAUUUUCUUAAUUACGCAGUUAUCUUCAUAUGGAACCUUAUUCACAUAAAAGGAGAGCUUCUGAAAUUUCAAUCUUUGUUAAUAUUUUAACUCGCGCCGAAAUAUCUAACAAUUUGUCCUCUAUUUUCUCUUCUUUUCUUUUCUCUUCUUUUUCCCCAAAUAUUUCAGCUUUCUUCGGAGAGGCUCAGCCAAGCUGCAGAGACAGUGAAAUUAUUACUGCAACAUUGUUCAGAACAGAGGUUCAACGGUUUUAUUGUUGUGUUUAAAAUUAUUGAUGAUAAGUACGUUGAGUGAUGUAUAUAUGUGUGCCGGUGUGAUCAUUACUAAUAACCUUAAUCGUAUGUUUUUAAUAACAAUGAUGUUCCAGAAUUUCUCAAAUUCUCAUAGCGCACAAUUCGUGUUUAUGCUCGGUUUCUUUCUCCUCCCUCAGUAGUCAGUAAUAUAAUUUGCAUUGACUGCAGUUUUUAGAUCUACACAAUCUGCUGAUUUUUUUGAAGGAUAUUGAUGUGUUUUGUAAUGGAAUGAUGUUGUUUGCAUCUUGUGCUUUGUGAUUGAUGCCUUAUAUUUUCCCAAGGAAAAAAAAAAGAAAAAGAAAAAGCAAAUAGGCUUCUUGAUUUUAUCUAUUCAUUUUUGAAUGGUUGCAUAUUAAUCAGUAGAAGUUGGCACACUAAUUAGAUAUUGCAUUUUGGCCUUGAAGAAGAAAGUUUAUUUUUUUUGCAAUGCUUCUUUCUCUGUAUAAAAUGACUAAUUGAAAGAAUAUUUACUAUAAUAGAACCUGGAAUUUCUAUGUAUUUUAGGAGGAAAAUUUAUUAUACUACCACAUCAUCAUAUUACCAUUCAAUGAGUACAUGUUCUUCAUUUUCUUCUAUCGAGUUUAAUUAAGAACUUUAUCCCAUGGACUGCAUUAUUUACUGUCUACAAUCUGCAUUGAUUGACUGCAUUUUGAGGUUCUUUACAAUUUGUAGAUUAUUUUAAGAACAAUUAGCUACUGCCGUGUUCUGAUGUAAUGUCGGUGUCUAGUAUGCUUUUACCCAAGAUUGAACUAAUUAGAGAGAUGCUGGUACAUUAAAUUAUCCAUUUUUAUUAAUUUAUUAAUAUUGUAUUAAUGUAUUAUAUCAAAAUAUAAGAUACUUAAACUUUUAAAUACUAGAAUCUUGGAACUUGGAAGGCAAUUUGAAUUUUGAAACGGCACCGUUUCAGCUCAACCCACUAUAUGUGUGUGUAUAUUAACAUAUUUAUGACGUACAGAUAAUUUGAUUGGUCGAUUAAUAUAUGUAGUUAGAAAAUUCUAAUCAUUCUGUUAGGUUACAUCACAGUUAUUUCAGAGAUUAAAGGGUUUCUGAAAGCUAUUUUUGUUACUAAUUUCUUGGUUAAGGUUCAAGCAGAAAGAACGGUAAAUGAACCUUAGUUCCCCACCUUUUUUUUUUUUUUUUAUUGCUAAAAAUUCCCCAGGUUAUUGAGUCUAUGUUAAAGUCCCUUGUGUACUUCAUCCGAGUCAAAAUUAACUAUCACAUUUGCGCAAUCUUGGCAUAAUAUUCAAAGCAGCUGAGCAGUUUAUGCAGCUAUUUACUUUUCAUCUUAUUCACUUCUACAGUCACGCAGGUUUUAUUUAUCUAUUUAUUUCUUUUAUCUAAUAAAGGAUGGAUAAAGUUUAAAUCAAUUUUAAUUUUCAGCUCACGAUUCGAACUCAGAAGAGCAGCAAUUAGCUUGAAAAAUAAAAAUCACUCGGCUAAAUGCCUGGGGCAAUUGUCACAUAGGUUGAAUUAAUGAAAAGAUGCAAUAAAUUUAUUAACAACACAAGGUUGAAUUAAUACGUCACACUCUCUCUUUCAUUAUUAAUCAGCCUAGAGGAAAAAAAAUAAAAUGACAUCUCACAGUCCUGUCUAGUCAAUGGAACCCAAUUUUUUGAGACGAGCAUUGCAUCUUCUUGAACCACCCAACAUCGUCCCUGCCGUCGUGUUUGGUGAAAAAUCAACCUUUAUUUUCUCACACGAGGCUUUGAGACGAUAUCUGGUGUCUGCAGUCUCCGCAAUUGCGUCAACUUCGAUCGUAAAGUUCACAGCUCCGAUUGACGUCCAUUCUUCAACAAUGGCAUCCGCAACAGAGGAAUUGAUGCUCGCCGAGGCAACAUCAACAGUCGCAUUAAUCAGCGUCGUGUGCUCGUGCUCAAAAUACUUAGGAUAUAAAGUAACCAUGGAGGAUAUAUUUUGCUCCAUGUACGAAAGUGAAACGUUAACAUCUCCCAUAGCCAGGGACUGAACAUAACACCCAUACAGGCGCCUGCAACUCUCAGGAUUUCCAACAGAGAAUAUAACGCUCCAAUUGGCUGUUAUACGACUAGAAUUAUUCGAGAUGUUCAACUUGAAUGGAUGUACACUCAAUGAAUCAACUCUGAACAUUAAAGGUCCGCCAGAGUAUUCUUUUCCAAUAAAGAUAUGGAGACUAAACCAGAUUGCCAAACAUAAUCCGAAGAAAGAGCAGCAAGCUAGUAUGCAAGAACAGAAAAGCUUACAGCAACUAGUAGCAAAGUCCUCGUCCAUUGUCGAAGAUUGUCCUUCUGCACGUUGAUUCCACGUAAUGACGAGAAUUAACAGAUUCAAAAACUCACCUUUGGAGACUGAAAUAUUAUUGUUAACUAGAAUCAGCUACUAAGGGCUACAAAAGAAAUCUAUUUAUAUUAUUAGCAAUUAUCCUGAAACAUUUAGGAAAAGGGAAAAAAAUUUCCUACUAACAAUAAGGAAACUGCAACUAAUCUAAAUUGCGAUAAGGAAAGCUAGUCCUAAUCUGUGUCAAUAUAUCUAUAGAGAGAGAGAACAAAAGUGGACGAAGGUUUAUUAAGAUUGUUGAGGAUUUAAUUUGAACAAAUUGAAUGUUGAUUGUUCAAAUUUUAAACAAAUUUGCGAUACUGAAUCUGAGUUUUGAAGAACAUCAAUUAUACAAUUAAAGUGUGUUUGGAACAUGGGAUUAUAGGGUAUUAAAACAUUAUUCACAUUAUCUUAAUACCAAUACCAUUGGAAAGAAAAUGGAUUAAAGGGGGUGUGCUAGUGUGGCAACUGCCGCAUUAGUGUGUUUUUUUUAAAUAAUAAUAAAUAAAUAUAACUUUUUAAUUCAACGUAAUAUUAUACAAUAUUAAUUUUUAUUUUCUUUUAUUUUUACAUUAUAAUUGUUAAUAUAAACUAAUAAAUUCAUAAUUUUAUUAUUCAUAUUUUAAUUUUUAUUAUAUUAAGAAUAUAACUAAAAUAAUAUAUUAUUUAAUUAUAUAAUAAUUAAUAUAUAAAAUUGAUUAAUAUUUAAUAAGUUAAUAUAACUAAUAAAAGUACUUAAAUAAUAGAAAAAUAAAAAUAUAACAUAAUAUUACAUUAUGAAUAAAUUUAAAUAAUAUUAAUUUAAAAUUAAUACCAAUAUAAAUAAUAAUAUAAAAUAUUAUUACAUGUACUAUGGGAUUCUUACUUGGAUUAUUUAGCACAAUUCAUUUUAUUGGUGAAUAUGUUACAACUAUUGAAUCACUUUAUUAUUUUGUGAUUAUCUUGUGGUAUAUAUAAACACUUUUAUUCUAUCAUCCUAAGAUAACUUUUAAACUAAUCUUGUAGGUUUUAACCAAUUUAAUUAUUAUUUAGAAAUUAUGUUCUUAAAUUAUUUACUUCGAUCUUUAUUUCACAAGUUAUAUAUUAAAAAAUACUCAAAAAUAAAUAUUAUGCUGCCGAAAAUGUAAGGCUAUAAGCUUUGAUCUUUAUGAAAAAUUUCUAAAAUUUAAGACUUCUAUAUUUAGUAUUUCUCUACAUACUAAUAAAUAUUAUUUUCUAAAUAUAUAAUUUAAAUUAAUCACAAAAAAAUUAAUACAAUACAAUGUAGCACCAAACGUUGUACAACAUUAUUAUAAUAUAGUGCUAAUGUAAUACAAUAUAAUACAAUAUACUUGUAUUAAAAUAAUACAAUACAAUAUAAUACAAUACAGUGUGCCAAAUGCACCCUUAAUACAAAAUUGAUCCAUUUCUUUAGAAUCGUUCAAAAUCUUUCAUAUUAACCCUGGUCUAAUUAAAUUCUUGGAACCGAUGACAAGCCUUUGAUGUUUUUAGUCCACUUAAUAUAUAUCUUAUAAAGAUUUUAUAAUUUAUUAAUGGGAAACUAUCAAUUUGUCAUUUAAGUUUUUCAGAUGAUAUAUCAAUUUGAUAAAUUUGUAAGAUAACACAUUAUAAAAAAAAAAAAACUCUUAUAAUUUCUUAUACCUUUAACAUUUUUGAAAAAAUAAAUACUUGUUUUGGAAAAGGUAGAUAAACCACAUUAGUUUUACUUGUUUAACCAAAAUACAAGUGAGUUAGUUCAUAAAACAAAAAAUUUAAAUCGCUUAAUUACAACAAAAGAACAUGAGAUUAAAAUUUUUAGGAAAAUAAAAAAAUAUCUUCAUUAAAUUAAUAUUUAUUAAUUAAAAAAUUUAUAAUUUUUGAUUAAUUAAUAUUCAUUUAUUUAAUAUAUUUUUUGUGGAUGGUUCUUGAGUAAUACCCAAAUAUUUUUAUCAUAAGUGCUAAGGUGGUACACACGCCCAUUGAAUGAACAAUUUCAUGAUUAAUUAAAUUAUCUUUUAUUCCAUUUGAUUAUCUAAUGAAUGAAUAUCACUUUAUUUAGUAUUGUAAUGGUUAAGAUAUUGCUUGAGAAGUAUAAUUGUUCAACUAAGUCAUAAGAUGGGCAUGACAGUUCUUAAGCAACUUUAUUUAAUUAGCCACCCAAAUUUAAAUCUUGAAAGAGGUUAACAACGAAAAAUUAAAAUAAAAAAGUCAUGAAAAUGAGCCAUUGGAGAGCUUGAUGCAUUACUUUUAAAAAAAAAAAAUUCCGCCUUUGUAAUAACCUAAAUUGUCUCAUAUUUUGUUAGCUUUUUUCAUAUAGUAACGAUAUUGGUUACAAUGUAGGGAUAUAUAUGAAGUUUGUACUUCAAAUGAUGUAAAAUGAUAUGACACUUGAUUUGUUAUUUAUUCAUUGGUUUUAUCAAAUUUGAUUAGUACAAAAAAUCAACUAUUAACAAUAAUGAUUCAUAAAAAAUAAAAUAAAAUCAUUAUUAAUGAAAGAACAAAUUCAAUUAAAAUUUUUAAUUCAAAAAAAUUAAAAUACAAAAUGUAAUUUACGCUUACCACUUACCUCCACAACACGCGUGAGUCACGUGAAGUGUAAACAAAAACCAACUUUCCCAAAAUAAAAGCUCGAACAAUUAGUUUCAACGGCUAUAUCUUUGACGCCCUAAUCCGAACUCAUAACGGCUAUUUGCUGGUGCUUAAACUUUAGGCACCGAUUGCAUGAAUUUUUCUUCAUUAAUAAACUUGUUGAUACAGCGCCCGAAUACACUACUUCAAAGAGAUUUCACAGCGAUUAUAUCGUUGAGCCAAAUUUUAGAAUCAACAAAUUAAACUUAAUGUGCACUUAAGAGAAUACGCACCUGGUUUCCUAAUUCCAUUCGAAUUAGAUAUCUAAUGACUAUAAUUCCCCCAAUAUCCUACUUCACAUACGACAACGCAACACCACUUGAUUUCCAAGUAACUGAGAGAGUUUCCAAAUUCUGCUUUUUUAUCUCUUCAUUCAUUCUUUCCAAUCAAAUUUACCCACCAAAAGUCUUCCUAAUUCCAUCUCUAAUUCUUUCAUUUUAAAUCUUGCUUUCUGAUUUCGUGGACAAAACAACAAAUAUGGCUCAAAUUAGAGAUCAACAAGAGCUGUUGGAUUAUGCCUCUUCAAAAAGAUGACACAAUACCCUCUUCUCCAUGAAGAUGGGUGAUGGUAUUCCCAUAAGAAAUUGCGAUCUUUAUGUCUCUAACGAGCCGCCUAUAAUUUGGAGUUUGUACGGAGGAGACCAGUUACUUGAGAAUCAAGCUUUCUACUUUUUCACUAGGAUGAAGAAACUAUCCCCAAAGACUUCAAGAUUUACAUAAAGAUUGGUUCUGGUGUGUGGCAGGGAAAGGAUGGAGCCAAGCCUGUUCUUUCGUGUGGCUCUGUUGAUAAGAUUUUAGGGUUCAAGAAGAGGAUCUUGUAUCAAGGUAGUAAAAACCCUAGAGAAGACAGAGGAUGGAUCAUACAUGAAUUUACUAUUAAUCCAGCUUUGUUGGAGCAGCAAUAUUCGCAUAAAGCCUUCAACUUUGCUCUCUACCGCAUCAAAAAGAAUGAAUCUGAACGGCAAGCAAAUGACUUUGAUCAGCCAUAUUAAUCAGGAUGAUGAGUGCUUUCAAAAUAAGCACCUAAGAGCUUAACAAGCAGCAGUUCUGGUUCAACAUAACCCACUCACCAUGUUUAGGCUUUGCCAGUAGUGGAAUAUGAAGGGGAAUUCUGAUCUCACUAUUCCUUUCUUUAUUUUGAUCCGAUUUUAGGAAGCAUUAAAUUGAUUGCUGGUGUAUGUAAACAGUUUUUUUUUUUUUUAAAGGAAUGUUUUGUCAGCCUAGUGGUCCAACCUGCUUGAAUCUAAAUUAGUUGAGACACAAUGCAGUUUUUGAAUAGCAGAUGGUUUAAUAUUCUAAAAAUAAAUAAAUAAUUGCAUCCUCUCUUCCAUAUUGCAAAUAAAACUAUGGUUAGGAAAGAGCUCCUUCUGUUUCUAUAUGUGUUCCUUAAAAGGCGUUGCUUAAAGUUAAGAACUUGAAACUAGGCAUCUUCAUGUUUAACCCAAACAAAUUGUUUCUAAGAUCACCCAUUGCUUUUAUUCAAAAAAAAAAUAUAAGGUCUAAUCAAAUUAAUUAGGUCUUGGUUUUUUUUUUUUUAAAAAAGCAAUUUCACAGCUGAGAUUGCAUUAAAGAAGUCAUUAGGAAUCCAAAUUUUACAAGGAAAACAGAAGGUCUAUACAAUUAGAACGGGCUUAUUAUAUAAUAAUUAAUUUUUGUUGCAGAAACAAUAAGCUUUCGCAUAAUCCAGACUACAAACAAAUCUCAUUAGCUAGCACGAGAAUAUAUCCUAUCUUUUGAAAGGAAUUAAUAUUAAUAUUAAUAUUCAUCAACAAAAACUGGCUCCUGGAGAAAUUAAUAUUAAUAUUCAUCAACUAGACAGCAGUUAGUAAUAAUAUUCAUUAACCAAUGGUUGAUAAACUUAUUAUUUGCUUGUCAUUUCUUACUUCAAGUACCAUAAAACUUCAAUAAAUUAAUAGGUCUUGACUUAGGACCAACAUGUGAUUAAUUGAUAAGAUAAUACGUUAUUAAAAAAUUAAGCAACAUUAAUAAGAUAAUUCAUAAUUUAUAUGAUUUUGGAUUCAGUUCAAUUUAUAUGCUAAUAGGCCAACAAAUAGAUGUUGAAGAUUCUGUAUUUUUUAAACAAAAAUUUAGGCAAUAAAUCAGUAUAAUACAACAUUCGAAGAACCGCAACUGUGAUUUAGUAAAAUCCAAUUGUUAUUUCAUCCAAUUAAGAAAGAAUUAUAAACUGCAAAGAGUGCAGUAAACCCUCCAAACUAAUCAGUGUUUGAGCUGUAAUCUUAAAUGAUUAUAUGCACAGAAUAAUUUAGAGAACAAAAGGAGAAAGUAAAUGAGAUUCUGAUUAAAAUUAAUGUUCAUGAUUAUAUUCAGGCAGCACAAAGGUCGUCCAUAAGAGAAGGUUAGAGCAAUCAGUGGCUGGUGGAAUGUAUGGUGAUGCUGAUCCAGAGAUUGCAGAGCAUGACUGAAGAGCAUAAUAAACUUGGUGGUUUAGCUAGUAGCUUGGCAAACGAGUUAUGAAUUAGUUAUGCUGACUAGGGAAAUUGGUUAUGACAGAUUCAGUGGCUAUUAGCGGCGUUUGUAUGAAGAUUCUAGAUAAAUCUCGUAAACAGAUUCUUAUAUGUAACCAUCAAAGUAUAAAUACAGUUGCUUGGAUUCAUUCUUGUACUAUGCGGUAAAAGAAUGGAUUCAGAAUCUAUUCCCUUUCAUUUUCUCAAUAACCAAACAUAGGAUAAUCAGGAGGAAUUGCAGCAACUCCUCAAUCCUUAGUAUUUCUUCUGGAAUCCAAUGAACAACAACGAUUACCUAGGAGCAGCUUGCGAAUUUGUGGCACCAAUUCAGACAUGGUAUCAGAGGCAGCUCCUGCUUCAAAUCAAAAGAAUACCUCUUGUAACUUUGUAAUACCAAUAAAACUCGAUCAAAGCAACUUUGUUGUUUGGAGAACACAAGUGCUUACUUCAAUCAAAUGGAAUGGUACAGAAGGAUUCAUCACUGGAGCAAAUGACCGUCGCGAUCAGUAUCUUGUUCAAGAUGCAGAUGCUAAUAGCCCCUCCAAUGCGGGAUCUGAAUCAAGAAUUGAUAAUCCUGCUUUCUCAGCUUCGAUCGGGACAGAUCAACUUCUUCUCAGCUGAAUGAUGUCUUCAAUUCAAGAGAAUUUGCUCUCUUCUGUCAUUCAUUGUGUUUCAUCUCAAGAGUUGCGGGAUUCCUUGACACGUGUGUUUGUUUCUCAAACUUAAGCUCGUACGAAUCCAACACCUAUGGCUGCUUCUCAUCAUCUUACAAGAAAUUCAGGCAUUGUUAUUGACAGUGCUUCUCAAUACUGGAGCAUUGUUGGAGCUCUGCAAUUGCAUUAUAGUUAGUGGGCCAAAGAUUGCAUUUCCUGUCAUCAAUUGAGGCAGUUUCUUUCUAAUCCUUCUGCUGAUCAUUGGCAAGCCUGCAAGAGGUUAUUAAGCUAUCUCAAAGGCACCAUUCACUUUGGCUAAGAGUUCUAUCACAAUGGUAAUAUGCAGCUAAAUUGUUUCACAGAUGUGGAUUGGGUUUGUGAUAGAGAUGGCAGAAAAUCUGUUGUUGGGUAUGUUGCGUUAUAAGGUCCUAAUUUGGUCUCUUAGUCAUGUAAGAAAUAACAUGUUCUUUCUAGAUCCAGCAAUGAAUCUGAGUAUGGGGCUUUAGCCUUAACUACAUCAGAACUUUUAUGGAUCCAGGCUUUACUCUUGAAUUGCGGGUCAAAUCAGAUGUUAUGCUUCUCAUGCGGUGUGAUAAUCAAGGGGCCAUUGCUCUGGCUAACAAUCCAGUAUAUCAUACCAAGACUAAACAUGUUUCACUGGAUAGUCAUUUUACCAUAGAAAAGGCUUCAGCUAAGCACCUUGAUAUUUGUUUUGCUCCUAGUGAUGAUCAAACAGCAGUCAUUUGAACAAAAGCACUCAGUUAAGGUCAAUUUCAUUAGAUGCAGGCUAAAGGUUCUUCCUGGACGAUUUAGCUUGACAGGGGAUGUUGGAAUAUAUGGUGAUGCUGACACAGAGAUUACAGAGCGUGAUUGAAGAGCAUGAUAAGCUUGGUGGUUUAGCUAGUAAGUUAGAAAAUCUGUUAUGGUGACUUGGCAAGUUGGUUAUAACAGAUUCAGUAGCUAUUAGCUGUGUGUGUAUGAAGAUUCUAGAUAAAUCUAGUAAACAGAUUCUUAUAUGCAACCGUCCAAGUAUAAAUACAAUUGCUUGGAUUCAUUCUUGUACCAUACAGUUAAUGAAUAUAAAUUCAGAAAUUUUCCUUCAUUUUCUCGGUAACCAAACAUAGCUUUAGCUUAAUUCAAACAGUGGCUAUGGUAAACUUGUAAUAGAUAACACUUCAAAACAUUGAGAGCCUAUUAACAAGCUUUCCCAAUUGACUUGAACAAAAAACAAAGAUAUUGCAUGGGAAAUAUAGGCAAAGUGACAGAAAAUGCAUGGACAAAACUCACCGUUCGAGAAUGAUCCAAAUUCUGGUAUUUUUGGUUUAGUAACGUGGCAUCGGAUGGACCACCCCGCUUAGUGUAGCGACUACUGCUUAGCAAGCUACUUUAUUGUUUAAAUCUAACUUUUUGCAAAGUAUCCACGUAAAGCUUUAUUGUUUAAAUAUAACUCUUUGCAAAAUAUACAUGUAAAAUUAUUUAUUUUCUCUUAGUUCCUAAAUUAAAUUGAAUCUCGUCUUUACUUUUGUGCAAAGCAUGCGCUGGAUUUUAUUUUUUUAGUUAAUGUAGAAAUUUUUUUCUCCUUUCAAAUGAAAACCCAUGAAGCAGAAUGAAUUGAAACUAAAAAUUAGAAAAUAAUUCAUUGAAACUUGAGAAUACUUUUGUACAAAUAUUUCUUGAUAUUAAAGGCUUGCGCAAUAGUAAUGUAUAUGUACAUAAUUGCACAAACUGAAUUAGAAAAAAAAAGAUAUUGAUAAUUAUAAUUUUAUUACCUAAGCCAUAUUGUUAUGGAUAGUAGCUAUUGGACGGUAAGAAUGUACAUGCACCAAUAAAACUUGUCUUAAAAAAAAAUCUUCAUUUAUCAAUAAAUUAAUAAAUUAUUCAUUAAUUGAGAUAUAAUUAAUUUUGGUAAAAUAAAACUUUUUCAUAGUACCGACAAUAUUAUUUUAUAAAGAUUAUAAAACAUAUUCGACUAUUUUUAAAAAUCACAAAACUUUUAAAAAUAAACUUUAUCAAAUAUUUAGUUGAUGUUCUUCACAUCUGAUUAUUCCUAUGACACGGUUAACAACAAUUAUUAAGAAUCUCAUCUUGAAAAUUGUUAUGAAAUGAAAUCAAAAUGUUUUUUUCUUUUCUAAAAUGAACAAAAAAAUCAACUUUGUUUCUAUUUUAAUGACGAAUAUGUUGUACUAACAAAACAAAAGAACUAACUUUUAUGUGAAUUGAAAAAGCUUUAAAUGGGAAAUAAAUACGUACUAUAUCCAAAAAAUCUUUAUUAAAUAUACUUAUUUCCUAAUAAACUAUAAAACUUGAUCCCUUUAUUUGUUUUGACUUAUAAUGACAUGAAUGUCAAAUAAAUAUGUUUGAAAUAUUUUUUAUUUAUGAAAAUAAAAAGAUGUCAUUUAUAAUAGGAUAUUAAAACAAGAAAAACAAACAUGUCAUUUUGACAUCUGUAUUUGGACUCAUUUGGACUAUAACCAAAUUCAGACAUAUCUAGAUUUUAGACAUUAAAAAAAAAAGGCUAUAAGAAAAGAAAAUUAGUGUUGCUAUCGUCACUGCCUCACUCACUUGUCGUUGCUAUCAGUCACUAGGCACCCAUUGAAUGCGCCAACGUGAAUCAGUGUAUUUGUAUCAAACCCCCUCUAUACAAAAUUUCUGAAUCCCCCGCUACGUCUCAUAGUUUAGUAAUCAGAUGACCUACGUCUAAUAGUUUAGUAAUCAGAUGACCUGUCAUUUAGAAUGAAUCCUUGAUAGUUCUACUGUUUGUAAUGCUGUUGCUUUUGCUUUGGACUGCAAGACUAAUCGGACUGCAAGGUUAAUCGGGUGAUUAGGCAUUAUCUUCAUUCGUAUUCGGGGUUAUUAAUAUCCAAUUGAUAAAGAAUACCACAACACGCUUAGUUUGGUUUUUGUGUCACUACUUGCGUUAGAUAUUGGUAGUCACUGGCUGCAGAUGUACAGGUACCCAUUCUUUUCCCUGACAUAAUUCAUGUGACAUGAAAUUGCUUGUAGAACUGGAAGAUAUUAGAUUUUUUUUCCCUUUUUUGCUAAAGAAAAGUAUUACUUUCGUUGGGAAAUGUGCCUACCACUCUGGAUCUCCUUUGUAGUACAUUCUUGAGAGGAAAAACUAGCCAUGAAGAUGUAAAAGAUAGCACAAAUUGGCUUUUCAAAGCCUAUUAUGGGAACCGGAUGUUUAUGGGUUAUUGUUGUGUGGCUUUCGAGGUAAUUGUAGCUUUCGGUGUUAUUAUACAUAUCAGCAUUUGCAAAUGUUAUCAGUACUUUUUACCUGAUCCAACCUUUUCAACCCUGCAGGUUCUUUACCUAAUCCUAUUUCUUAUUGCGGAGAAGCAGUGUGAAAGUUUGGUGGAUGUAGGUUCUCAUUUUCUUACUAUUAGAUUGUUCUGCGUAUGGAAAGAUUUCCCUUGUUUCUCGGUUUUCAAACAAUAUCUUCUUUCUGGCUGUGGUGACUGGUGAGUGCUGCACGACAGGGCUCGCCUCUUUCCUUCCUCGUUGCUUUGAGUUUAUUUGGAUGGGCAAUCAAGCAAAUGAUCAACGUCAUACAGGUAACUUGCACUCCAUAUGAUGGAAAUGUUUGUUUAUCCUGAUACUUUUUGACAAUAAAUAAAUUUCUUGAUGUCCAAAAAUUAAGGAAACUUUUGUAUCUGUAAAGUUGACAUUUUACAAUGGCAUUAUGGAUUCUGAAGUUGAUCAGUUUUAGACUCACAUGCUAUUAUAUGCUUGAAUAUUAAAACUCAAACCUUAUCUAUCUUAAAUGGAUUGUCGUGGAUAUGCCUGAGAUGAACAUUUUCUUCCUCUUCACCUCAUCAUCUUUGUCAUGGUAGUUAUAAUUGAUUGAGGAGUGUUAAAACGCAUUGUGAUGAAUGAAUGCACUAGCUAUUGUCAAUGCCCCACCAAAAAGGGCAAAGGAAAAUGAAGAAAGAAGACAAAAGAGGAAGAAGAAAAAAAUUGAGAGGAAAAGAUGUCAAGGGUAGGCACCGGAUGUUUGAAAAAGAAAAAGAUAAAUUCAAAGCUCAAAAUUUCAAAGUUUGAAAACUUGAAAUUUGCAGCUGUAUUACUUGAAGAUUAAAGCCACAUUUUUUACUUUCUUGGCCAUCAUUUUGCUAUAAAUAGAAGUGCAAAUGAAGAGCUGAAGCAUUUCAUCGAGAGAGAAGCAUUUCCUUCCUUUAGAGUUGAGAGUAUUUUAAGAGUUUUAACAAACUCUUGAGUGAUUAGUGAUUUGAGAAUUUUGGGUGUAUUGGGAUUUUGGGUAGUGAGACAAAAUACCAUAAUACUUGUAACUCAUUUUCCCUAGUAAAAUAUUUUCCUUCUGUUUUCGCCCGUGGACGUAGGCUAAACGCCGAAUCACGUAAUUUCUAGUGUCUUCUAUUGUGCUUGUUCUUUAUUUUCUUCCAAUUUUAUUUUAGCUGCGAUGCUACUUCACCCACCAAUUUCCUGACAGUGGUAUCAGAGCUAUUGGUUAUAUUUUUAGAGUCGGGGGUACUGUUCACGUAUAUGGUAUUGUUCACGUAAGGGGUACUAUUCACGUAUACAGUACUGUUCACAGAUACGGUACUAUUCACGUGAAACGGUGGGAGCGAUCCAAGAAUUUUACGGUGCAAAGCAGGGAAUAAUGUUUUGAGUAAAGCAACUGUGCGAUUUUGUAUAUGUUUAGGAAAGUUCAGUAACAAAGGCGAUAAGAGCUUAAGGAGUCUGGGUUUUAUGUGGGAUCAUUGUGACCCCUCCAGUCUUUCCUGGGAACGUUCCUGGUGUGCAUUCUCACACACACUCACAACUAUUCAAGGUGGUGCACUAGCUUGUGUGCGGUAGUUAUCAACAAAAUGGCAGCAAAGUAUGAAAUUGAGAAGUUUAACGGAAAUAAUUUUUCGUUUUAGAAAAUGAAGAUGAAAGUUGUAUUGAGGAAAAAUAAUUGCUUGGCAGCAAUUGGAGAAAGACCCAUGGAGAUAACUGAUGACAAGUGGAACGGGGUAGACGACAAUGUCAUUUCUGAUCUACACUUGGCACUUAGGGAUGGAGUAUUAUCCAGUGUGGCAGAGAAAAAUACAGCGAAGGAAAUUUGGGAUACUCUCACAAAAUUGUACGAGGCCAAGUCACUACACAACAAAAUCUUCUUGAAAAUGAAACUCUAUACUCUUUGAAUGGCAGAAUCUACAAUGGUGACCGACCACAUUAACACCUUGAAGACUCUAUUUUCACAACUCACAAUGUUGGGUCAUAAUAUAGAGGAAAAUGAACGUGCAGAGCUUCUACUUCAAAGUCUACCAGAUUCAUAUGAUCAGUUCAUCAACAACCUGACGAACAACAGACAAGCAAGUUCGCAGCAAGCAGAGGUGCUAUCGGUGACGAGAGGGAGAUUAAUGGAACGUGGCCCCAGUAGGAGGCAAAAUCAUGGUAGAUUAAAAUCUAGAAGUAAGAAGAAUGUUAAAUGCUACAACUGUGGUAAGAAAGGGCACGUCAAGAAAGAGUGUUGGAGUAACCAGAAGAGAAGAGAGGGCAAAGAACUUGAGUCAUCAAAUGCUCAGGGGUGUGUAGCAAGUAACUCAGAUGAUGGCGAAAUUCUCUACAGCGAGGCAACAACUAUCUCAGAAGGCAGAAAACGACUAUCUGAUAUCUGGCUUAUAGACUCAGGAGCUACCUGGCACAUGACCUCUCGGAGAGAAUGGUUCCAUACAUAUAAACCUAUCUCAAGAGGAUCUGUAUAUAUGGGUAAUGAUCAUGCCUUGGAGAUCGCUAGUAUUGGUACUAUCAAAAUAAAAAUAUUUGAUGGUACAAUUCACACAAUUGAGGAGGUACAACAUGUCAACGGCCUGAAGAACAAUCUAUUGUCUUUGGGAUAAAUGGAUAGUCAUGGGUACAAAACUCAUGUGGAGAAUGAAAUAAUGAAGAUCGUUAAAGGCGCGCUUGUAUUGAUGAAGGCAGAAAAGAUUGAUGCUAAUUUAUUCAUGCUUAAAGGAGAACCACUACAGGAGGCUGAUGCGUGUAUCACGUCAAAUGGAGAAGAAUCAACGAUGAUGUGGCAUCUCAAACUUGGAAUUUGCAGCUGUAUUGCUUGAAGAUUAAAGCCACCUUUUUGACUUUCUUGGCCAUCAUUUUGCUAUAAAUAGAAGUACAAAUGAAGAGCUGAAGCAUUCCAUCGAGAGAGAAGCAUAUCCUUCCUUUAGAGUUGAGAGUAUUUUAAGAGUUUUAACAAACUCUUGAGUGAUUAGUGAUUAGAGAGUUUUGGGUGUAUUGGGAUUUUGGAUAGUGAGACAAAAUACCACAAUACUUGUAACUCCUUUUCACUAGUAAAAUAUUUUUCUUCUGUUUUCGCCCGUGAACGUAGGCUAAAAGCCGAACCACGUAAUUUUUGGUGUCCUCUAUUGUGCUUGUUUUUUAUUUUCUUCCAAUUUUAUUUUAGCUGCGGUCCUGUUGCACCCACCAAUUUCCUAAAAGCUAUGUCAUUAAGACUGCAUUUAUUAGGUUGGUGCCACAAAUAUUAGGCAAGAUAUUCACAAUAGUGCUACUGAAGCUUUAUAUGGAAUAAGGAGACCAAACCUCUAUAUGAUAAAGUGUUGUAUGAAUACCAAAUGAAUUGUAAGAGGAUAUGGUUAAUUUAGAUUGCAAUUUAAGAAAGCUUGAGUUCUAAGAGCACAGAAAUGGGAUCAGUCUUGCUCAAGUGUAAACUCCGUCAGUUAGGAAGCUGUCCAUCAAAUGCAAAUAUUUAUGUGAUUGAGAGAAAUUUUGGACUUUUGAUGAAAACAAAAUCCUGCAUGCAUUUGCUUGCCCCCAAGGAGCUGAAAGUUCUCAAAUUGUUUGUAGACGUAAUAGUUCUCCUGAUCUCAUUUGGCUUGCUAAUCUUUUUUGCUCGAAAAUUUGCCCAUUGUGUGGUCUUGACGGUGGGUGAAAUUGAUUUGUGGUUUCAGAUGAAGAAUCUGUUCGUGGUUCUCCUGCUCGAGUGCCUACUUUUCAGUGUGCAAGCAUAUAUGUUGAGACCGGCAGAUGAAAUCACUAAACUUUUACAGUUGAUCUGAGGCUCCUCUAAAGAAGGAUUGGGAUUUUGGAAUUAAUUUGGGGAAAGGGUUUUUUUCUGGUAUAUGAGUGUAAGCAUUCCUUCAAUCACGUAGCUUUGUGCCAUUAACAUAAUGGCAAUUCUACAAUGGGGAUAAUGAUAAUUUUGUGAUUGGGAACUCUUUACUGGUUUUUCUUUCGCCAUUUGUGUCUAUGAUUAAGGUUGUUUAAAGUGUUAUGGGUUUUAAUCUACAACCAUUGCGAAAUGGACUCACUAGCUGGCAAAUAAUAAAACAUAGUGCUGUCAAAUUUUGUAAGGAUUAUGCAUACACACUCUUUCGUCUUCAAUGCCCUGAAACUGGGUAACUACAUGUAUGAUUUUCAUUCAGAAAAACUGGCGAGAACUAAUGACUUUGCAGAUUAAAAAAUAAGUAGGAUUUUCAGAUUAUGUAGCAUUGUUAUGUAAUGCCUUGUGGUUUUUUUAAGGUUAAAGUUGGUUUGGAAAUUAAUUAAAAGACGAUAUUCAUUCUAUCAUGACGAGUUUUUAACAAGAGGAAAGGUUCCUUUCAUAAUUUACUAAUUUAUACAACCUUUAAUAUUAAAACAAAAUUUUAUAUAUUAAGGAUGAUGAUUCUUGCUCACUUAGUAAGAUAUGUACAUAACAUAGGUUUGUUAAGCAAGGAAUCAAUUAUGUAUUUCUUGUAUCUGAAAAAAUGAAUCAUCCUUUAACGAGGGUUAUCAUCAAUUGCAGGUUUCUAGUUUGGUUGCUUGGUUUGAGGACUAUGAAUAUUACAUUGUCAUAACUAAAGGAAAGAAUAUUGUAUACACAGCACACUAUAAUUACCAAUUCUUUAUCUUAUAAUAUAAGUUCAUAGUGAUUAAUUUGACCGUCUUCAGCCAAAAAAAAAAAAAAGUCCCAUUUCAGCACAAAUACAAGAGCCCUCAUUUUUCUUUGCUCCGGCCAUUUUAUAGCAGUGUCAUCACAGACACCUCAAGCUCUACCGAAUCAUCAUAGACAAUUCGUGAUUGGUGGGAGCAUUACAAGAAAGGUACGACAACUUCAAACUGAUAGAUUUGUUUAUAUGAUUUAGCUAUAGUUUUAACUUUUAACAAUAAACAAGAGACAAUCAUGUACAUCGUUAGUUACAUAAAUGUAGAUACUAAUUUAUUCCUGUACUUGCCAGAUCCAUACAUAUAAAAAUGAGAUAAAUUUUAAGGUUUAAAAAAUUUCAAUUCAUCAAAAAUCUAGUGCCAUAUUAAGCGGUAAAAUCACUUAGAGUUAAUACAAGAGGUUUAUGAUUCCCCAACCCGUUUAUAUGUAGGGGUGGGGAAGGUAUUAGGUAAUAAAGAAUUAGUAAAAAUUAAUAAACAUAUUAUAAAAAGAAAUAAAUUUCAAGAGGGAACGUAAAAGAUUGUAUGUAACUUAUCGUUAGUGGAAUGGAAUUUUUUUGGAGAGGCUAUAUUUGGCUUGGAACAUAUGUUAGAACAAGGUUAUUUGAACCCACCACACUCUCCAAAAUCCACUUCUCAAUAAAAAAAUUUGGGUUAUUUCCACCUAACCCCCAAAUCUUUCAACAUUUUCCACCUUGCACCCAAACUUUUCAACAUUUUCCACUGGACACCCAAUUCCGUUAAUUUGACCGUUAUUUUUAACGGAACUAUUUGAAAGUUAAUGAAAUGUCUGAAAUACCCCUUAUCUUGAAUUAGAAAAGAAUUAAAUGAGAUAAAAUAUUUAUUCAAUAAUUAAUAUUUACAUUAAAAAUUCUUAAUAAAAAAUAAUUAAUAAUAAUUUCAUUAAUUAAUUUAUAAAAUAAAUUUAAUUUAUUAUUAUUAAAUAAUAUUUAGGGAAUAAAUUUCCAAAUUUGCCCUUUGACCGUUAGAGUAAAUAGUCAAAUUAACGGAUUUGGGUGUGGAUUGAGUAUUGUUGAAACAUUUGGGUGCACAGUGGAAUAUGUUGAAACAAUUGGGGGCAGGACGGAAUUAACCCAAAAAAUUUCAUUACAAAAUUUUUCUUAAUUAAAUUACUAUUUUAACCAAAUAUUAUGUUAAUUUAUCUCCCUAAAGCUUUUAUUUUUUUCACCCCUUUUUCUCUUUUCCUCUCCGUCUCCCCAAUUUUUUUUCUAGUCCUGUGUGGUUCUUAUACUUUAAGGCUUCUAUUGGAGUAAAAUCUCUAUUGAAAUUGCUUAUCCAAAUUUUUUUUUUUAAUUUGCCUUUCCUUUACCCUCGAGUCACUAUUAGAUGUAUAUGCUCGUGAUGAAACUUUAGUAAUUGGAUUUCUAUUAAAUAUUUUAAUUUAAAAAAAAUGAGAAGAUCACUAUAAAAAUAUCAAAAGAUCACCAACUUAAUUAUAGCAAUAAUUAAAGGAAUUAAAAGACUUACUAUUUCUGUUUGAAGUUAUUAUUAUAAAGAAAGAAAGGGAAAAAAAGAGUCGCUGCAAUUGCAUCAAUUGAGGACAUGUUAAGAAAAGUAUCAUAGAAAGUAGUGAGAGAAACAACUAAUGAAAAUUAAUGAUACUUAUUGAGGGUAUAUUGGGAAUAUUUGUGGUUUUUUGAAUGAAAAAAUAAAAUUUUAAGUUGUGAUAAUGUGUUUAUUAUAUAAAUGGGUUUAUUCAGCAUUACAAUGGGUUUAAAUGGCUUUAUCCUUCAUAUUAUAAUAAAAUUUUAUAUUACUAUAAUAGCCGUAAUAUAGAGGACAAUGUAAUGAAAAUAUUGUUACUCUUAUACCUAUUAGAGAAACAAUAUAAUCUUGUACAGACAAGAACACUCCAGUGCUCAAGUGUAAAAGUUUUAGUAAAACGUAUAAGAACUGUUAAGUGUAAACAGAAUUUCGUCAAGGUGCUGUAAUAGAAUCUAAUGCUCUUUGGUAGUGUAAACUAUGUGUGGCGCGUGUAGUAUUUCAAUCUUCACAAGUGGCAUUGUAAAUAGUGGCUCUUAUUUCAGUUCCUCGUAGGCACUCUAGAGACAAUUGAGCUUCGAAGCUAGUAUUUGGUCAUCACGUGUUUCUUUUAAUGAAACAUGUGGUUCAUUUUAUCCUUAUACAAGAGCAUUUUGUGCGGAAUAACCAUGUCAAAUGCUCAUUUAUCAAGGACACGUGUCGUGUUCUCAGAACAUAGUAAAAAUAUGAUACGCUAACCCAUGUACAUUUAUGGAAAAUCAAAUGAAAACAAAGAACUAAAAAAAAAGUUCAAAGGCUAAUUAAUAAUGUUUGAGUUUGAGAUGAUUAAUAUUUAAUUUUAUGGUUGUAAAGAUAAGAAUAAAAGUAGGUCUAGUGAGGACUAUACUCAUAUUAUAACACUAUUUAAAGUAAACUUUGUUAUAAAAGAUUUUAUUCAAUUAGGUACAGAGACCGUUCAAACUAUAUUUUAGUAUGUCUCAUAAUAGGACUAAAAUUGGUCAAAUCAACCUAUUUCGAUAAGAUCCAUCGAAAUUAAUAUUUAAAAGAUUUAUCAUCUCAUUAUACAAUACACAACUUUGCCAUCUAGUAGAGAAUGAUUGGUUGGCACACCAUAGUUUACAUAGAUAUUUCUAAUAUUUGAAUCAUUUAUUAGGAAAUUUUAAUCCUACCAAGAUCUUGUAAGUAAACAUAUCAAAUAAAUAGUAAAUAGAUAAUAUAUAGAAAAUAAAACCAAUCAUACAACACAAUAAUUUACCGGAGAAAAAAUCCUAUAUUGGAGAAAAACCACGGCCGCCAAAGAUGACGAAAGAAAAAUCCACUAUGUAAAGAUCAUUACAAUCACUCUAGUAUUUUCCUCACAUACAAAACCCCAAUAACAAAUAAUCUCUUAUUCUAGAAACUGUCUACUUGUAUAGAACUGAUUAUUGUGUUAUGCAAACAAGUGAAUCUAACCUUCUUAUAUAUUGUGAUUGUUUCAUAUAAGAGAAGUAUUUAUUUCCUUAUAUAAUUUGUAUUCCUCCUUUAAUAAGUUCUUUGGAAUUACUUAUUCCUUAAACAUGAACCCCCCAAACAAAACAAUUACUAAAUAAAAAAAUUCUAGUAAAUAUUCUAAUUUAGGAUUUACAAAUCCUCAUUGAAAAAGGAGAUAUGUUUCUUAAAAAUCUCCACUUUGGCGAGUUUUUUAAUUAAAUGAAAAAAUAUGAUCCGCCAUACAUCUAUGCAACCAUGUCGUCUCCACCUUCUUUAGUCUACCAAAACCACACUGACAUUGGACUAAUAAGAAUCACUCCACUAUGAGUAAAAUCUUGUCCUCUAUCCAGCAGCCAUAAUUUUCUACAUCGAGAAUCAUCAUACUUCACAUUAUCCAGAGUACCAUGUUUGUCAUAUGUCAAUCACAUUUAUGAAAUUACCCACUCUCAUGUUUGGCUUCUUUGAGAGUCCUCAAUGAUCAACAUAAAAAGUCCACCACAUACCUUUCAUAAAUACUAAACUACAUGUUGUGUGCACAUCUUGUGGACCCAUUAGUAAUAACACAUCCUCUUCCACGACACACCAAUAGAUGACAUAAUUAGCAUCUCCUUCUAUUAAUUUACAGCUACUUUCCAAAUUUGCUAUAUUCUAACAAUCUCUUUUAAGAUGUUUUGAUUACCUACACUCCUCCAGGGGUUUCUACUAGUGGAAUAGGCCUAGCAUUGCUCUUUGCUUUACUUGUAUAGACAGAUUGAAUCAAUAUGUUAUUGACUUGACCUUCCCAAAAGCCAAAAUUAAUUAUUCGUCAAACUUUUCUGUUUCUAUCUUCAUAGGUUUUGAAAACCUCCUUGUUGACGUAUUUGCUCUACAUUGCAGCCUUAGCUCUAUUAUCACCUGCUAAGAAAUAAUUAAACUCACCUAAGAUUUGCAAGAAAAAAUAUGAAAUAAAUAGUAAAUAGAAAAUAGGUGGAGAAUAAAGCUAAUAAAAUAAUACAAAAAUUUACAUGAAAAAUUUCUAUAUUGGAGAAAAAUUAUAAUAGCUAAGGACAAUAAGAGAAAAAUUUAUUAUGUAAAAAUUAUUAUAAUUACUCUAGGGUUUUUCUCACACCUAAAACACCAAAAGCACCUAAUUUUAAUAGAACUACUUAUAUUAUUUCAUAUAGAAAUUGUAUUCCUUUCCUUAUAUGAUUUGUAUUCCUCCUUGAAUAAGUUAAGUUCUAAAGAGAAAAUUACUUAUUUCUUAAAUAUGAAUUAUCUUCAAUAAGAAAACUGAAAAGUGUAAAAAAUUCCUAAUUUAAGACUUAAAAAUCUUCUUUGAAAAAAGAGACAUCUCCCAAUAUCCUCAAAUCCUCCUUACAAUGCCACCAAUCUCUUUUGUGACUAGCCCAGUUGAAACUUUUAAUGGAUGGGCUGUAAUUGCCAAUAUCCAAAUAAAACAAAUUUCCAUAGGUAUAUUGGUAGAUUGAAUGACAACUAACAACACAUGAUUUGAUUAACUUACUUCCAAAAAAAAAGAAAAAAAAAAGAUAGAAUGGAUGAACAUAAGACUCUUUUACCAACUCAUGGAAUUCAUCAAUAAGGCCUUGGCUGAUCCACCUCAUGACUAGUAGAGUUCAAACCCCCGCUAAAUAGUAAAAAAAAUAUUUGGAUUAUUAAUUACUCUUUCUUAAGUCUAUUUAAACUUAACUUUGAGAAUUAUGAACGUCUACACUUUAAUUAAAACAAUACAAGCCCACCCGUUUGUAUUUAAAAUUUUGUUUGAAUUUAUUCACGAGCAACAAGAAUAGUAUAAAUGGAAAAAAAACCAUCAAAUAAUAUCCCAUGACUCUGUUUCUUCAAUUUCAGGAGCAAUGGUGGAAUCAUAUUUUUCGAUUGAAAAACUUUUGGAAAAAUUAGGGGGCUUUGCUUAUGAAGAACUUUUAUUGUUCUGCGGUGUCAAAAAUGACUUAGAAAAGCUAAAGGAGACCUUAACCAUUGUCAAAAGUGUGGUUUUGGAUGCCGAGAAAACGCAAGUCCAGAAUGACCGGUUAAGCGUUUGGCUGGGAAAUCUUAAGGAUGCUUGUUAUGAUGCAGAAGAUGUGUUGGAUGAAUUUGAGGUGGAAGAUCUACGAAGGCAAGUCAUGAAGCAAAGAAGCAUCGGAAGAAAGUUUCGUAACUUUUUUGGAAGCUCAAAUCCGAUAGCUUUUCGUUUUAGAAUGUGCCAACAAAUCAAGAAAGUCAGAGAGAGGUUUGAUGAGAUUGCAAACAUGAUGCAUAAGUUUGAUCUCACUGCACGACUUGAUGAUCGUAGUUGGCGAAUUGUGCAUGAAGAGAGGGAACCUACUCACUCGUUUGUGCGUCCAUCAGAUAUUAUUGGAAGAGAUAAAGAUAGAGAAAAGAUUAUUGAACUAUUGAUGCAAACAAGUGAUGGCGAAAGUGAAACUGUGUCUGUGGUUCCUAUUGUGGGACUUGGAGGUUUGGGCAAGACUUCACUUGCAAAAUUGGUGUACAAUAAUCAAAUGGUAGAAGAGCAUUUUGAGUUGAAAAUCUGGAUAUGUGUUUCUGAGGAUUUUGAUGAGAGACAAAUUAUGAAUAAAGCAUGUUUAUGGUUUGUCUUAAUUCAUGGUUAGAUGUUCUACUGUAUUUUUUGUUUGGAUCUGCAAUAAGAGGGUGAUUUAUUAUAACCAUGUUUCCCUCUUGAUUUAGUUUAUCGUAAUAAAAAUUUUGUAAGCCAAAAUUAGCAUCGGAUUAUUGUAAAUCACUGGAAAAUUGCGGAAACUUGCUGGAACCUGCAGCAACGAACCAGCACACGCAGCAGCGAGCGGCCACCAGCACACGCUGCUGCACGAGCAGCACGCGGCCAGAAGCACAUGCUGCCAGCAGCGCGCGCUGCACGCGAAGCGGCCAGCAGCCACGCUGCAAGCAGCUCGCGCUGCACAUGCAGCAACUGCAGCGCGCGUUGCAACGCUGCAAGCAGCGCUACCUGCAGCGCGCGAGCAGCAGCUGCAGCGCCUGAGCAGCAGCGCGAACGUGGGCUGGAGGCGCGGAGCGUUUUGGUUGACGUCUUUCCGGCGUUGAUGACGGCUGUCCGGUGUGGAAACAGUGAACAGCGGCUGGAUUUUUUGGAGAUGGCGGCUGGGGAAGAGAGGAAGAAAAAUAUGGAUUUAGGGUUACAUGGUUUUUAUCAUGGAGGUCCCUAUGGUUCCAUAAUUUUUCAUUUGGGCAGAAAGUUUUUUAAUUUUUUACAUUUAUAUCCAAAAACAGUUUUGAGUUUAAUGAAUCCUAAUUUUAGGCCCAAUUUCAAUUGGGCUUAAUGGAUUAAAAAUGCAUAGACAAAAUUAAAUACAUUAAAUUUAUUUUUGGUCCAAAAGUUUUAUUUUAAAAAAAAAAUAAAAUAAAAUAAAACUAUUUAUUUAUUUAUUUCCUUUCAAAAUUAAAAUUAGACCAAUUAUAAAUUUAAAAGCCCAAUUUCCCCUAGUCCAUUAACAAAAACAAGCUUAUGGAAGAUGGACAUUGACAAGAAGCCCAAUGAAGAUUAGGCUUAGGGUUAAUGUAUUUUUCAUUAUUAGGAAAGCCAUGAAUUAAGAUUAUUUAAUUAUUUUUCUAUAUGUUAUGUUUUGGAUGAUAACAUGCCAUGAUAACAUGUCAUAUAGAAUAGGUAGUGCCACUCUAUGCAUAAUGAUACAUGUUAUUCAUUAAAUAAUGAAUUUCAUUAUAUUGUUUGAAAUUUGCAUAUGCUUAAUAAUAUUUGAUAUCAUCUAGAUAAUAUUAUAGGAAGCAUGCAAUUAACAAUAUGUAUGUUUUAAAAAGGAAAAAUCAAUUUUAAAAUAUUGAGUGGGAGAGGGAAAAUUCAAGAUAAUUUUUCCCACGGGCUCCAUUGUUAGUUCAAUAAUAAAAUUAUAUAUAUACCUCGACUUCAUGAUACGGUGAUGCUCCCUACGGAGGGUAUAUAUAUUGGAUAUUUUAUUUGAUGAACUUCUUCAAAGAUAAAAUUGAAAUAUUUUUUCAAUCGAUUGUUCGCCCCAACGGUGACUAUUGAUAUGAAAAAUACGUAGAUUGAAACAAUGGUUAUACACUCAACUAAAGUUUGUUAUUAACCUUUCCAACGAAGCUCUAUUAACAAAUUUAGGCCCAAAGGGAUAACGAUAAUUAUUUAUCAUGUCUCUACAUGAAAGUAAAUAAUCUAAUGGAUAAUUGGGUCUAGUAAGUGUAGACAUGACUUCCCCAACGGAUAGCUUGUCAAAACGGUACUAGAUUAUCGUUACAAUAAAUUAAAAUGCAUUUAUGAUUUUUUGCAUUUUUGUCAUUUAUUGUGAAUAUUGUUUCAAAGUAUUUAUGCAUGUCUAUUUUGUUUUUUCAGAAAAUGUCUUCCAUCAACCCAUUAUUAAUUAUCCUUGGUAAAAAUGAACUCACUGGUGAAAAUUAUUUAGAUUGGAAACGCAAUCUAUUUAAUAUUCUCACUGCUAAGGGAAGCAAAUAUGUUUUGACUCAGCCUUGCCCUCAUGAACCAUCGUUAUACGAUUAUAGAAAUCAGAGGGAGCCUUAUGAGAAAUGGUGCGAAGCUAACAAAAUGGCUAAGCGCUAUAUAUUGGCUUCGAUUUCUGUGGAACUGCAUAAGAAACAUCGGAGCAUGGAAACAGCCACUGAAAUAAUGGCUAGUCUUCAUCAGAUGUUUGGGCAAAAUACCCAUUUUGCCAGAGAAGCAGCAUAGAAACGUAUUACGGAUACUAAGAUGGAAGAGGGCACAAAAGUUCGUGAUCAUGUCCUCAAAAUGAUGGACUAUUUGAAUGAGGUAGAGAUUCAUGGUGUUCAAAUCAAUGAUAAAUCAAAGAUUAACAUGGUGAUUGAAUCUUUACCUGAUACAUUCAAAGAGUUUAAGGUCAGUUAUAUCUUAAACAAUAAAGUUAUGACCUUAAUUGAAUUAAUGCACGAACUACAUGCUAUAGAAGAAUUCUAUCAUAGCAGAAAACUUCCUAAAAAAGGAUUCUCUUCAAGGCUUAAGUCGAAAGACAAGAAUGAGCAAGCAAGAGUUGGGAUCGGCAAACUGUCCACUAAAAGAAGUGGCAAGCCAAAAGGCAAGUGUUACAAAUGUGGACAGAAGGGUCACUGGAAGAAAGAUUGUCCUAAGAUUAUUAAAAUCAGGUAUAGGAAAUCUUUAAGCUUCCUAAUUAGUUCAGAUUUCUAUUGCAUCAUACAAUAAUGAAUUCUGAGAUAACUAAUCUUAUUUGUAAUUCAUUUAUUUGGUUUUCAGGAAACCAAGAGAUUAAGUGAAGAAAGCAUCAAACAGCAGUUGAAGACAUGCUAGUUUAUAUCAAUUGAAAGACUAGAUCAAUUUUAUAAGACUUUAGUUUUGAUAUUUGUCUUUAUAUUAGAGGAAUUUAAUUUCGGUGGCUUGUUUUAAUAAACAGGAGUACACUGUUAUUUUUUGGAUCCUCUAUUUAUUAUUUAUUUUGGUUAUUUAUAAAGACAAUUUAUAUCAUAGAAGUCCAUUGAUCUAUUCAAAGUAAGAUAUAAUGAUAAAACGUAUAUGCAUUUAUCUAAGAAAAGAAAUGUUUCUUCUAACCAAAAAUCACCUCUGAUAUUUAUGCCUAAGUCAUAUAAACUAUAAUAAGAUUUUAAGAAAAUGAUCAAUGAUAGACUUGUUGGCCUAUUAAGAUUGAUCAUUGUAACUCUAUAAAUCUUAUUUAGAAAAGUAAUAUGACAAGGAUGCUCUUUUUGAGCUAAAAAGCAUAACUAUGUAUUUGAUGAUUUAGCGCAUACAAAUGUAUACGGACUAAUCAGUUUACAUGUUAUAAGGGAUUAUGAGUAUUCUAUCAAUCUUGUUGAUGAAUAUUCAUUUUAUUUAUGUUUGUCUAAAUGCGUCAUGAUUCCAUUGCUUUUGAAAUUCAAAAGAGUACGUGGAUAAGACAGAAGCAAUUAGACAGGAACAUAAAAGAACUUCGAUAUGAUCGAAACAAAGAAUAUCUCUAUGGAGAAUUCAAGCACUAUUUGGUUGUCAAUGAACACUAUAAUACAAUAGUGUAAUUAAAUGAAGAAACAAGAUUCUUUUGGAUAAGACAAGAUAUAUACUAAGUGGUUUAUCAUUUACCUUUUUUGAUUCCAGAUACUAGUAUUUAAAACUACAAAGUUUAUUGAACUUAGUUUCAUCUAUCUCGGUGUCUACUACUCCAAGAAAUUAUGAAAAAGUCACAAACAUGGUUUGAGACACAUUCGUAUUUGGAGUUUACUAGUAUUUCUACUAGAAUCAGAGAUAGACAAGAUGGAUUCGUGUUCAGAAGCUUGCAUGUUUUAGGUAUCUUAAAGGAAUAAGGGAAAGUCUGAAUUAUAGUCCUCAAGAUAGGAAUGUAUUUAUAGAAAUAUUCUUUACUUUCUUUGAGGAAGACUCUAUAAUGACUUAUAACCUAAGAGUAAGGUAAAACUAGAGAAAUAAAAGAGAUCAGGUUGAUGCUCAGCUUUCAACACCUGUUAUAGAACAGGAAGAACAGCAACAACCAGCUGAUCAGCACAGGAUUAUCCUUGAACAACCAUCACUUUUAGAACCUUGUUGUAGUGGGAGGGUAACUAGGUUACCUGCGAGAUACAUAUUUUUGGGAGAAACCUAUAUGGUUAUCUCAGAUGAACAUGUACAAAAUCCCACUAGUUACAACGAAGCUCUAAUAGAUAGAGAUGUUAAAUUUUGGAAAAAUGCCAUGAAUCAAGAAAUGGAAUCUGUGUAUUCCAAUAAAGUCUGGGAACUUGUAGAGGCACCAAAUGGGGUAAAACCUAUAGGCUGCAAGUGGAUCUACAAGAGAAAAAGAGGAGUAGACGGAAGGGUGGAAACAUUUAAAGCAAGAUUAGUAGCCGAAGGGUUUACUUAGAAAGAAGGGAUCGAUUAUGAGGAAACAUUUUUCUACGGUUGCUAUGCUUAAAUCCAUCAGGAUUCUGCUCUCCAUUGCUGCAGUGCUAGAUUAUGAAAUUUGGCAAAUGGAUGUCAAGACUGCCUUUCUUAACGGGCAUCUGGAAGAAAACAUCUACAUGCAGCAACCAGAUGGAUUUAUACAAAAAGGCCAAGAACACAUGGUAUGUAAGUUGCAGAGAUCCAUUUAUGGAUUAAAGCAAGCAUCCCGGUCAUGGAACAUCAGAUUUGAUCAAGCGAUUAAAUCACUUGGAUUCAUUCAGAACAUUGAUGAACCAUGUGUGUACAAGAAAAUUCAGGAAAAAUUUGUAGCCUUCCUAGUUCUUUGUGUAGACAAUAUUCUCCUUAUUGGAAAUGAUAUAGGAGUAUUGACUACAAUAAAGAUUUGGUUAGCAAAAUAAUUUGAUAUGAAAGACCUGGGGGAGGCAAGUUAUAUUCUUGGUAUCAAGUUACUACGAGACCGGAAGAAUAAAACUUUAGCCUUGUCUCAAGCGAUCUAUAUCGAUAAGAUAUUGGCUAGAUUUAGCAUGGAAAAUUCCAAGACUGGUUUAUUACCAUUCAGACAUGGAAUUACAUUCUCUAAGGAUCAAUCACCUAAAACAUCUGAAGAGAUAGAGAGAAAGAGACGAGUUCCCUAUGCAGACGCUGUGGGAAGUCUCGUGUAUGCCAUGCUUUGCACUAGGCCAGACAUCUGUUUUGCGGUAGGGAUGGUUAGCAGAUAUCAAUUUAAUCCUGGACCUCAAUACUGGACUGUAGUCAAGCAUAUUAUAAAGUAUCUGAAAAGAACUAAAAAUUAUAUGCUUGUGUAUUCUGGUGAUGAACUCAUUCCAGUGGGUUAUACUGAUUCUGACUUUAUGUCAGAUAAGGAUUCCAGAAAAUCAACUUCCGGCUAUGUGUUUACAUUGGGAAGUGGAGCUAUUAGUUGGAUGAGUGUGAAACAAUCUUGUAUCACAGACUCAACAACUAAAGCUGAAUAUGUGGCUACAUCUGAAGCUGCAAAAGAAGCUAUAUGGUUCCGCAAGUUCCUACGAAAUCUUGAGGUGGUACCUGUUGUAACUGCACCCCUUAAACUAUUUAUGUGAUAAUGGUGGUGCGGUAGCUCAAUCUAAGGAACUAAAGAACCACAAGAAACAAAACAUAUUGAAAGGAAGUAUCAUCUUAUAAGGGAAUAGUGUAGAAAGGUUAUAUGACAAUAUCCCAAAUGGCAUUAGAUGCUAAAUGGCAGAUCUUAUUACAAUGGCCAUUAGUGGGAAACCUUUAUAACCUGCACUUAGAGCCCUAGAGCAUGUGCAAUAUGCCAGAUAUGCUUUGAGAGCUAGUGGGAGAUUGUUGGGAAAAUAUGCUCUUUAAAAGCAUAUGUGUUUAUUUAAUUGUAAUAAACAAUUUUUCUGAUUAAUAAAAUAAAUGAGGUAUUUUAUUCAAAUAUCUUAAUUGCAUUAAUAUUUGUAUUAAAGUCCAUUUAAUCAUAUUAUAUGUAUUUAUGUGAUCACUAUGUGGAUUCACAGAAGACAUAAAUACAAGUUAUCUUAUGAUUAAAUAAAUUUAGUUCGCAGUUGAUAAAUAAAGUUGGGCACUUUAUUUAGGUAUAGACUGUAAUAAAUUCAUUGAAUGAUUUGUCUUAAUCAUGUAUGAAUUUAUUGAUGUAGUACGACUACAUUGAACAGGAUCACAUAUGAGAUUUAAUUAACUUUGUAAUAACUGUCAGACUUAUUAAAUCUCAUAGGCGUUGAUUUUACUGUAAUCUUAAUCUUGAGUUAAUUAUGAUUUCAUGAUUGUAAUUGUUAUUCCAUUUGAGUUACCAAUGGGCACGACACAGCCUUGUGGUCAAGAUUACCCGGUAUCUUGGUGGGAGCAAUUAUGAGUAUUGGAGUUAUGUAUUAACAAUAUAGAAUUUGUACAACACAUCUCUUGAUGGGUUUUCGGCACUUGAUCAUAGAACUCUCUGGCCAGAGUGUGUCAACAUAUUUAGUAUGUUGAAAAUGAUCAUUAGAGAAAACCAGUAAGGAUCAAGGAAUAAGAUGUUAUUAAAUUGAUUGGACAGUUGAGAUAUCAAUUUAAUUAACGAUGUGGUACAAAGGAUUGUGCAGUAAAGAAAUCAAUGUGGCUUGGGACGAAUUAUUAUUCGAGCAUACAAUUAUGGAAGUCAGUUCUAAUCUUUUAGUGGAGUAGAUUUGAAAUUAAAUAAUUGGACUAGUUUAAUUACAGGCCUAAUUAUUGUAGCCACUAUUGUAUGUUCCCAAAUGAUCCCCGGGUUAGCUCAUUUAAUUGACUGCACCACUACUGGACUAAUAAGUAAGAUAACUAGCUAUUUUGGUCAAAAGCCUAAAUAUAUCAUUUAGUGGGAGGCUCCAUUUAAUUAGCUUUUGUAUAAGGGGCCUUAUGUUAUUUUACAAGGUGGGUCCCCUAUUGAAAAAGAAAAUAACGUGAGUUUUAUUUAGGGUAUUAUUUGGAGCCUAGGGUUUUCACUAAAGGGUGAUAUAAAAGGCUUAUUUUUCCCUAAAGAAAAAUAUGGAAGCCACUAUAUACAGAUCAGAGAAAAAGAUUUUUCUCUCUAUUGUUGAGAGAAAAAUUUUCUCGUGCUAGUUGUUUUGAUAGUGAUAAAGGCGCCCACAUGUCAAGUGCAGAUCGAACCUGAGUCAUAACUUGGAAGAUCAUUGGAGACUGUUCGUGAUCUAACAAGCGUGGUGGUGACGGAUCGUGAUCUAACAGGAGUGGUGGUGGCGGAUCGUGAUCUAGGAGCCUAAAACACUUCAGCGGAAAAAGCCAACUCAGAUUUUCAAGGUACGAUUUCUAGAAUACAAAUUCUUAUAUAUUAUAUGAGAGCGAUCUUCAAAAGGUUUUAUAAAAAUUAAAAAACUGGAUUUUCCCCAACAGAAGGAAGUCAUCAUGAUCGCAAAAACACAAGGCCUCACCUUCGGAGGGUUGUCAUCGGGGAAAUAACACAGUUCUUAGAACUGCCACAAUGGCUUCUUCAAUGUUGUACUGAUACUUUACAGAGCUUGAUAAUUGUUGAUUGUCCCAACUUCAUGGCACUACCAGGGUCUCUAAAAGAUCUCGAAGCUCUUGAAACUCUUGUCACUGCACGAUGUCCAAAAUUGUCAUCGUUGCCGGAGGAUAUGCAUCACGUCACUACUCUGAAAUCAUUGGCCAUUGCAGAAUGUCCUGCGCUGAGUGAACGAUGCAAACCGCCAACAGGUGAAGAUUGGCCCAAGAUUGCACAUAUCCCUGAGAUUUUACUUGACGAUAAGAUGAUUAAAUCAAGCGAUUAUUAGGUAUGGAGCUCUCUUCUUUUUUAAUUUCCUCUUUUCAUGCAGCUUUCUAAUUUUUAAUUUCUCAUACAGCUAUACCGUUUAUAGUUUAAUGUUUUGUUAUGUUUACCAAACGAAAACUUGACUUUGAACGUUAGUUAGUUCAAUCAAAUUUGUACUAAUUUAUUUUCUUCUAAUACAUAAUUAGUUUGUCAGUACGAAACACAAAAAUAAUAUUUCGGAAACCGCAUUGUUCUAGGGGUCAGAUCUGUUUCUAAAUUCAAACAGUUCAGGAUUUUUCAAAAUGGAACUUAUAAUGAGAUUUUUUUUUUUUAAUUAUCUAGUUAUCUUCAUAUGGAAUUUCAAUCUUUGUUAAUACUUUAACUUGCGCCGAAACAUCUAACUAUUCUUCCUCUUAUCCUUUUUUUUUCCCAAAUAUUGCAGCUUUCUUGGGAGAGGUUCAACCAAACUGUAGGGACAGUGAAAAUAUUACUCUUAACGUUGUUCAGAACAGAGGUUCAACGGUUUUAAUGUUGUGUUUUAAAGUUACAAGUAUUAUAUAUUCGUUACGUGUGGUUAUGUAAUUUGCUGAUAUAUAAGUACAUUGAGUGAGGUAUAUGUGUGUGCCUGUGUGGUCAUUACUGAAUUUCUCAGUAAUAUAAUUUGCAUUGACUGCAGAUUUGUGUAAUGGGAACGGUGGUGUCUGUAUUUUUUGCUUUGUGAUUGACGACUUACAUUUGCCCAGGAAGAAAUGAAAACAAAUCGGCUUCUUGAAAUUAACCAUUUAUUCUUUCGAAUGGUAACCUUUUUGUGACAUGAUUCGCAUAUUAAUCAAAAGCAGUUGGCAAACUAAUCAGAUAUUGCAUCGUGAUUCGUGGCCUUGAAGUGAAAUGCGUGAGCAUGUUUGUGGAGGUUUUUGUUUUUGUUUUUUUUUUCCUCCAUAUAAAAUGACUAAUUCGAAAGAAUAUGUAUUGUAAUAGAACCUAGAACUUCUAUGUACUUUAGGAUGAAAAUUCUGUACGAUAGAAAAUAUUAAAACGAAAAUUAAAGUUGAUAUGAGAAAAUUAAAGAAGCUUGCAACUUGGAACUGCAAUCUAGCUCGACCUACUAUAUAUAUAUAUAUAUAUAUAUAUAUAUAUAUAUAUGUUAUUAAUUAAUUGAUCAGGUAAGAUAGGGAGAGACUCGCAGACUCUUUACAAGGAGCAAAAAUGGUAUGAAACUCUGUUUUGAUUAAAAUUCAAUGACUUUCUUCGUAUUAAUCAAAUUAAUUGAUUAAUUAUUUUGGUAAAAAGAAUUUGCGAAAAGUCAUUUUAUCAAAUGAUUUGGUGAAAUUUCAAGUACUUUCAUCUUGGUUUUUGCAGUUAAUAGGAAAUAGUUUGGUCUUGGGAUGUGGUAUAUGUAUCAACUUCUUAUUGCUGGUGAACAUUACUGGUUUAGUGUGCGAUCGUUUACUAUCACUGCAUGCAUUAUCAGUUUAUUUUAUUGAACUAUCCCAAAUCAGUAACGAAUCCUCAAUUCCCUCUGUUUUCUUUGGAUCCUAGUAGUGUUUGGCAUGCAUCAACUAGUGUUCAUGCAUGUGUCGGUUCAUCAUAGACAACUUCAGCACACAUACAACAGCCCUCAUUUCUUCUUAUAUUGUCGGUUCGAUAUCAUUUUGAAAAAUCAUAUCAAAACUGCUUUUGGAGUUCUAAUCCAGUGCAGUUACACCUAUAUUGUACUUUUGAUCUGCAACCUUGAGUCACUGUCAUUUUGCUGUUAGUAUUUCGAUUAGCAACUUGUACAGUGGUAUUUGAACUGCAUGGUAUGUCAACUUUCACUCUAUGUGUCUUAGAAACUCUGUAUAUCACUAAUUUCCUAGCACAGGCCUUGUUGACAGUCAAAGAUUUGAGGCAUAUUUCUGUAUUGAAGGCUUUUCUGUCGUCAAUUUGAUGAUGAGCGCAUGUAUUAUCCCCAAUAUUUUGAGCAGGAACUUGUAACUAGUAAUAACCAGUACCUAAGAUGUUGCAUUUGAUUGACUUCUCUUUCUCGUUUAGUUUCAGCCGUUGGAGUUGUUUCAGACAUGGUAACUGAUACGUAAUUUCUCUCUUUCCACCCCACAAUGUAUCAUUAGUCAUCAUUCGUUCUGGUUGGCGCGGAUACGCAUACUAAUUUGGAUUAUUGUCUGUGCCUUUGUCUUUUGUCAAUAAUCUUUUGCAUUUCAGGAUUAGUACAUCUUGUGUACUGGUAUACUCUCUCAACUAUACAUGUAAGACUUUGUUAUGUUUUCUUGACCCGUAAUCUAAUGCUAUAAGAUGACGGCAUAAUUGAGCUAUUUUGCAUCUCCAUGCAGGCCUGAUUUGGUUUUUGUGUCACUACCUGCAUUAGAUAUUGGUAGUCAAUGGCUGCAGAUGUACAGGUGCCGUUUCGUUUCCCUGACAUAAUCUCAUGUAACAUGAAAUUGCUUGUGAAACUGGAAGAUACUUGAUUCUUUUUUUUUUUCAUUUUUGCUAAAGAAAAGUGUUACUUGCGUUGGGAAAUAUGCCUACCACUCUGGAUCUCCGUUGCAGUACAUUCUUGAGAGGAAAAUCUAGCCAUAAAAUGUAAAAGACAACACAAAUUGGCCUUUCAAAGCCUAUUAUGGGAACCGGAUGUUUAUGGGUUAUAGUUGUGUGGCAUGUGAGGUAAUUGUAGCUUUCCGUGUUAUUAUCCAUAUCAGGAUUUGCAAAUGUUAUCAGUGCUUUUUACCUGAUCCAACUGUUUCAACCCUGCAGCUUCUUUACCUAAUCAUAUUUCUUAUUGCGGAGACGCAGAGUGAAAGUUUGGUGGAUGUAGGUUCUCAUUUUCUUACUAUUAGAUUGUUCUGCAUAUAGAAAGAUUUCCCCUGUUUCUGGCUUUGCAAACAAUCUCUUCUUUCAGGUUGUGGUGGGUGCUGUGCGACAGGGCUCGCCUCUUUCCUUCCUAGUUGCAUUGAGUUUAUUCGGUUGGGCAAUCAAGCAAACGAUCAAUGUCAUAAAGGUAACUUGCACUCCAUAUUAUCGUAAUGUUCGUUUAUUCUGAUACUUCUUCACAAUAAGUAAAUUUCUUGAUGUCUACAAAUUAAGGAGACUUUUGUAUGGGUAAAGUUGACAUUUUACAAUGGCAUUCUGGAUCCUGAAAUCGGUCAGUUUGAGAUUCACAUGCUGUGAUAUGCUCUACUGUUAAAACUCAAACCUUUUCUGUAUCUUAAAUGGAUUGUCGUGGAUAUGCCUGGGAUGAUCAUUUUCUUCCUCUUCACUUCAUCAUCUUUGUCAUAGUAGUUAUAAUUGAUUGAGGAGUGUGAAAACGCAUUGUGAUGAAUGAAUGCACAAGCUAUGUGAUUAAGACUGCAUUUAUUAGGUUGGUGACGGCAAAUAUCAGGCAGGAUAUUCACAAUAGUGCUACUGAAGCUUAAUAUGGAAUAAGGAGACCAAACCUCUAUAUGAUAAGAGUUGUAUGAAUACCAAAUGAAUUGUAAGAGGAUAUGGUUAAUUUAGAUUGUAAUUUAAGAAAGCUUGAGUUCUAAGAGCACAGAAAUGGGAUCAGUCUUGCUCAAGUGUGAACUCCAUCAGUUAGGAAGUUGUCCAUCAAAUGGAAAUAUUUAUGUGAUUCAGAGAAAUUAUGGACUUUUGAUGAAAACAAAAAUCCUGUAUGCAUUUGCUUGCUCCCAAUCCUGUAUGCAUUUGCUUGCCCCGAAGGAGCUGAAAGUUCUCAAAUUGUUUGUAGACGUCAUAGUUCUCCUGAUGUCAUUUGGCUUGGUAAUCUUUUUUGCUCGAAAAUUUGCCCAUUGUGUGGUCUUGACGGUGGGUGAAAUUGAUUUGUGGUUUCAGAUGAAGACAUCAGCAGAUGUGUGUGCGCUAUAUCACAUCGAGAAAAAGCAAAGGCCUUAAAGAGUUCAUCAACAUUUUCCAUUUCAGAAGAAUCUGUUUGUGGUUCUCCUGCUCAAGUGCCUACUUUUCGGGGUGCAGCAUAUAUGUUGAGACCGGCAUAUGAAAUCACUAUACUUUUACAGUUGAUCCGAGGCUUCCCUAGCAAAGGAUUUGGAAUUAAUUUGGGGAAGGGGUGUUUUUUGGGUAUAUGAGUGUGUGCAUUCCUUCAAUCACGUAGCUUCGUGCCAUUGACUUAUUGGCAAUUCCACAAUGGUGAUAAUGAUAAUUUUAUGAUUGGGGCACAGUGUUAGGAACUCUUUACUGGUUUUUUUUUUUCGCAUCUAUGUCUAUGAUUAAGGUUGUUUAAGGUGGUAUGGAUUUCAGUACAUUGAACAAAAAAUUAUUUAUUUUUAUUCAAAUAAAAAUACCUAAAAAUCAAACCUAAGUUAAAAAAAAUAAAGUUUAAAAAAUUCUGAAAUUAAUCAAAUUUUAAAACUUGAGACUUUUAACAGAUUAAUCCAACCUUUGAAUAAAUAAACUAAAUGGGGGUCAGUUUUUCUCGUGUCAGCUUGUUCAAUCGACACUAUCUUUUCAACCUCUCACGAAUAAACAAAUCACUAAUGAUGUGUCCAUUUCUUCUACUUUAUAAUAAUUUUUAAUAAAAAGAUUAUUAAAGUGGUUCGGCUGUGGGAGCCACACGUGUCUGUGGCAGCGCACACCCAAGAGAAGCCAGUCUGGUUCCAAGAAGAAAGUGAACAUGAGAUGAUGAGAUGCCGUAUCAAAUGGGGCCACGUAGACAGAGAUGCUUCGAGGUGACAUGUCAGCAGAUACCUCCACCACCGAUCUUCAAAAUAAUUUGAACGGUUGGGAUUUUAUUUUCAACUUACCUGUGUCCAGGCUGUUGUUGAUUGUCGCUAUCCUCAAUUGUCCACUUCGAAUUUUUUUUUCAAUUUCUCCAACACUCUCCUAACCAAAGGAGUUAAUAAGAUUUCGAUAUUUUUUUCUUUAAAUGAUUUGAAAUAUCAAUAUUUUAUAAUUUUUUUUGGGUCCUAUUUUGUCCAUAAAAUGUUUAGCGAUCCUUUCGUUAAUUAGUUUCGUGGCUGUCUUAUCAAAUUAUUACAACGGUGAUAUUGGUUAGACACAAAAAUUAAGAAAAAAAAAUGAUUAUAAUUAUCUGCGUGGCGCUAACACACUCUUUCACCUUCAAUGCACUGAAACUGGGGAACUACAUGUAUGAUUUUCAUUCAGAAAAACCGAUGGGAACUAAUGACUUUCCAGAUUAAAAAAAAAAAUAGGAUUAUCAAACAAUGUAGCAUUGUUAUGUAAAGUUUUAUGGUUAUUUUAAGGCUAAAAUUGGUUUAGAAAUUAAUUAAAAGACUAUAUUCAUUCUAACAUAAAACGAGUUUUUAACAAGAGGAGGAGGUUCCUUUUAUAAUUUACUAAUUUAUACAACCUUUAAUAUUAAAACAAUAUUUUAUAUAUUAAGGACGAUGAUUCUUGCUCACUUAGUAAGAUAUGUAGACAUAACAUAGAUGUGGUGAUCAAUUGCAGGUUUCUAGUUUGGUUGCUUAGUUUGAGGAAAGAAUAUAUGCUAUGGUGUUUGGCUGGUCUGCUUUUUCUUUUCAAUUAAUGUAAUAUUCUUAUGCUUUGGAAUUGAUUAUCAUAACUAAAGGAAAGAAUAUAUACUAUGGAAUAUAUGCUAUGGUCUUUGGCUGGUCUACUUUUUUCUUUUCAAUUAAUGUAUUAUUCAUAUGCUAUGGAAUAUGAAUAUUACAUUAAGGGAAAGAAUAUUUUUACACAGCACACUAUAAUACUCUAAUUACCAAUUUUUUAUCUUGUAAUACAAGGUCAUAGCGAUUAAUUUAUCCGUCUUCAGCCAAAAAAAAAGUCCCAUUUCAGCACAUAUACAAGAGCCCUCAUUUUUCUUUGCUUCAGCCAUUUUAUAGCAGAAUCAUCACAGACACUUUGAGCUCUGCCGAAUCAUCAUAGACAAUUUGUGAUUGGUGGGAGCAUUACAAGAAAGGUACGACUACUUCGAACCGAUAGAUUUGUUUAUAUGAUUUAGCUAUCGUUUUAACUUUUAACAAUAAACAAGUGACAAUCAUGUACAUCAUUGGUUACAUAAAUAUUAAAAUGAGAUAAAUUUAUUCCUCUACUUGCCAGAUCCAUACAUAUUAAAAUGAGAUAAAUUUUAAGGUUUAAAAAUUUGCAAUUCAUCAAAAAUCUAGUGCGAUAUUAAGCGGUAAAAUCACUUAGGGUUAGUACAAGAGGUUUAUGAUUCCCUGACUCAUUUAUAUAGGUGGAGACUCAUUUAUAUAGGUGGAGAGGGAAUUAGGCAAUAAAGAAUUGAUACAAAUUAAUAAUUAUAUUAUAAAAAGAAAUAAAUUUCAAGAGGGAUCAUAAGUUCAUAGAAGAUUGUAUGUCAGUUAUUUGUAGUGGAAUGGAGUUUUUUUUGGAGAGGCUAUUUGGCUUGGAAUAUAUAUUAGAAUGAGAUUAUUUGAACCUACCGCAAUACUCUCUAAAAUCCACUUUUCAAAAAAAAAUUUCAGUACAAAAUUUUCCUUAAUUAAAUUACUAUUUUAGCCAAAUAUUAUGUUGAUUUAUCUCCCUAAAGUUUUUAUUUUUUUUUCACUCUUUUUUCUCUUUUCCUCUCUGUUUCCCCAAUUUUUUUUUUCCAGUCCUAUGUGGUUCUUAUAUUUUAAGGCUUCUAUUGGAGUAAGAUCUAUAUUCAAAUUGCUUAUCCAAAAAAAAAAAAUCUUUUAAAAUUUGCCUUUCCUUUACCCUCAAGUCACUAUUAGAUGUAUGUGCUCCUCAAGAAACUUUAGUAAUUGGAUUUCUAUUAAAUAUUUUAAUUUCAAAAAAUGAGAAGGUCACUAUACAAAUAUCAAAAGAUCACCAACUUAAUUAUACUAGUUAUAAUUAAGGGAAAUAAAAGACUUACUAUUUCUAUUUGAAGUUAUUAUGAUGAACAAAGAAGAGGGAGGGGGGGGGGGGGGGGGGGGGGAACAAGUCGCUGCAAUUGCAUCAAUUGAUGACAUGUUAAGAAACGUAUCAUUGAGAUAAGAUUUAAUUGAUAAAAAUAAGAUUUACUAGAAAGUAGUGAGAGAAACAACUAACAAAAAUUCAUGAUACUUAUUGAGGGUAUAUUGAGAAUAUUUGUGGCUUUUUUGAGUAAAAAAAUAAAGUUUUAAUUUGUGAUAAUGUGUUUAUUACGUAAAUGAGUUUAUUUAAUAUUCCAGUGGAUUUAAGUAGCCUUACCUUUCAUAUUAUAAUAAAUUUUUACAUUACUCUAUAUUACCCCUACUAUAGAGGACAAUGUAAUGAAAAUAUUGUUACUCUUAUACCUAUUAAAGAAACAAUAUUAUCUUGUACGUACAAGAACGUUCUAGUGCCCAAGUAAAAGUUUUAGUAAAACGUAUAAGAACUCUAAGUGUAAAGAGAAUUUCGUCAAGGUACUAUAGUAGUAUCGAAUGCUCUUUGCUAGUGUAAACUAUUUGUGCCACGUGUAGUAUUUCAAUCUUCACAAGUGGCAUUGCAUAUAGUGGCUCUUAUUUCAGUUCCUCAAAGGCACUCUAGAGGUACGUUAGCUUAUAAGCUAGUAUUUGGUCAUCAUGUGCUUCUUUUAAUGAAACACGUGGUUCAUUUUGUCCUCAUACGAGAGCAUUUUGUGUGGAAUAACCUUGUAAAAUGCUCAUUUAUCAAGGGCACAUGUUGUGUUGUUGGAACAUAGUAAAAAUAUGAUACGCUAACCCAUGUGCAUUUAUGAAAAAUCAAAUGAAAACAAAGAACUAAAAAAAAUGCAAAGGCUAAUUCAUAAUGUUUGAGUUUGAGAUGAUUAAUAUUUAAUUUUAUGGUUGCAAAGAUAAGAAUAAAAGUAGGUCUAGUGAGAAAUACCCUCAUAUUAUAAUACUAUUUAAAAUAAAUUUUGUUAUAAAAGAUUUUAUUUAAUAAGGUAUGGAGACUGUUCAAAAUAUAUUUUACGUACAAACUCAUAUGUUUGACGUGAUAGUAUGUCCCAUGCUAGGACUAGCAAUGGUCAAAUCAACCUAUUUCGAUAAGAUCCAUCAAAAUUAAUAUUUAAAAAAUUUAUCAUCUCAUUAUACAAUACACAGCUUUGCCAUCUAGUAGAGAAUGAUUGGUUGGCACACCAUAGUUUACACGAAUAUUUCUAAUAUUUGAAUCGUCUGUUAGAAAAUUUUAAUCCUAGCAAGAUCUUGUAAGUAAAAAUAUCAAAUAAAUAGUAAAUAGAAAAUAUACAGAGAAUAAAACCAAUCAUACAACACAAUAAUUUACGUGAAAAAUUCUUAUAUUGAAGAAAAACCGCAGUCGCCAAAGAUGACAAAAGAAAAAUCUACUAUUUAAAGAUCAUUACAAUUACUUUAAUAUUUUCCUCACAUAAAAAACCCCAAUAACAAAUAAUCUCUCAUUUCAGAAACUGUCUACUUGUAUAGAGCUGAUUGUUGUGUUAUUUAAAUAAGUGAAUCUAACCUUUCGUAUAUAUUGUGAUUAUUUUAUAUUGGAGAAAUAUUUAUUUCCUUAUAUAAUUUGUAUUUCUCCUUUAAUAAGUUCUUUGGCAUUACUUAUUCCUUAAACAUGAACCCCCCCCCCCCCCCCGGAACAAGAAAAUUACUAAAUAAAAAAAUUCUAGGAAAUAUCCUAAUUUAGGAUUUACAAAUCUUCAUUGAAAAAGGAGAUAUGUUUCUUAAAAAUCUCCACUUUGGUGAGUUUUUCAAUUAAGUGACAAAAUAUAAUCCGCCAUACAUCUAUGCAACCAUGUCGUCUCCCCCUUAUUUAGUCUACCAAAACCACACUAACAUAAGACUAAUGAGAAUCACUCCACCAUGGGUAAAAUCUUGUCCUCUAUCCAGCAGCCAUAAUUUUCUACAUCGAGAAUCAUCAUACUCCACAUUAUCCAGAGUACACAUGUUUUGUAACACUCCAAAAAUUACCCACGAAAACACAAGGAUAAAAUUGGAAUGAAACUUUACAUCAUUUAUUCUUAUUAAUAAAUCUCAAGAUAGACAAUUAUUCAUACUCCAACUGAAUCCGUACAUAAAACAUCUGAAAUAAAGUCUAUAAAGAAAAGUCUCUAGUCCAAAAUAAAAAGUCUAGCCAAAUUCACUCUUGAAAGCAACUCCAAAGAUCCACUAAGAAAAAUUCUCCAUUUAAGCACCCAAGCCACAUUUCUAAUCAAUCUGCAAAAUAUUGGAGACGAGGGGUGAGCCGUCAACUCGGUAAGCAAAUCUAUGCACAAUAUUUGAAAACCUUGUAAGUUUACCUUUAAAUAUUUUAUAACAACAUCUUUAUUUAGCAUAAGGGGUGGAUUCAUAUAAAAGCAUUAAAAACAUUAAAACAUUCAUAAAAACGUUAAAACAUAAACAUUAGUAGCUCAUGCCUCGUAGUCAUCAUUAUUCAUCAUUCAUCAUUUAGGGUGUUAUACCCCGCAUUUUUCCUCAUUUAGGGUACUAUACCCCACGUUGUUCAUAAUAUCCUUGUGCACCAGAUCAUCAUCAUACCAGCAAGUUGGCCUUAGCAUUUCAUAACAUCAUAACAUUAACAUCAUAUAUAUUACUACAGACUAUGAGCCAAAACAUUUUUGAAUCCACCUUACAUCUUUUCAUAAAUAGCAUUUAAAGUCUUCUAAAACAUUUAAUUCUUUUAAAAAAUUCUUUAAGAAAACAUUUAAUUUUAAAAAAACUAAUUUCUUAAGAAAAAAUCAUUUUAAAAUACAUUUAUAUAAAUUCAUUUAGAAGCGUUUUUAUUUUACAAAAUUCAUUUAAAUAUUUUAGAAAUCAGUUUUGUAAAAAUCUCUAUUUAAACAUAAUUCGUAUUUAUUAUAAAGGACAUCAUGCAUGAAUCUACUUAUCUUGAUCCAUAUCAAUCAAUUCAAUACCUUAAGAAUAACCAACGAGCUCACCCAUGUCCUAUAAUUAUCAUAAAAAUAUUCUUAUCAAUAUCAUCUCUAACCUUAAACAUAAUCCCAGUCAUCCUUAAAUCAUAGGCACUUAUACUAGCUUAAUACUUAUACAUAUUCUAAACAUAUCCUAUACUUAUGAGUAUCAUGUACAUGCUGAUUUUUAAUAACCUAUACACAUGUCGGAAAACCAUGAAAAUUUACAGAGGCACUGUGAACAUGCAUAGCAUUGCAUACAAUAUUUCACAAAAAUCAGCACAAGUCAAAAUCGAGUCAGAAUAUUGACCUUUCACCAAAGUAACAAAAUUGUCCAGCACUGAUCAAAACAGACAUUUUCCACUUAUAAAAUUCAUAAAAUUUUCUUUAGUACUCGAAAUAAUAUGUUUCUUUUUUUGAAUCACAGAAGAAACAUUCAGAAAGCACUAAUUAAAUUUCAUAAUUUUUGGACUCCUGAAACUAUUUUAAAACGUUUUAUUUCCAAGAACAUCUAACCCGUCCAGAAAAUCUCAGAGUUGAAAACAGAAUUUCAAACAUUCGUAUCUUUUAUUUUACAUGCCCAAAAAUCACGAUUCCAUUUUUUAAAGAUAGAGGAAAGAUUGAAAUUUCAUUAUAAAAUCCUAACAUGACAUGUAAUAUUCAUAAACUAGCCCAACUGUUAUACGUUUCAGCUUCUGCAAUUCUGGAAAACAGUUUUCAGAUUUGCAGCAGCCACAUGUUACGGUUUUUAAUAAUUCAACCAUAAAGAAUAAAACUACGAAAUUACACAUGCAAGCAUAGGAGACAUAGAUCUGUUGAUACAAAAAUCGCCAUAAUUUUUAAGGAUGUGUAACCUUAUAGAAAAAUUUCCAGAAUUGAGAACCGCUGCUGAAAAUCGGAAUUUUCCAGCACCAGUAACCCAACUUCGAAAACCCAUAACAAUUUGCAUAAUCAGACGAUUUCAACACAAAACCUAUCAAUGGAAAGCUUAGGAUGUCUAGUUCCAUGAUAUGUAAGCAUAUUCAUGUGAUUCUAAAUAAAGAAAACGCUUUCAAGCAAGGAAUAGAGGCUGUUCAUAUCAUCACAACAUUACAAACACGCAUAUAUUACCCAAAUCAUACUACAAGUAAUUAAAGGCAAACAAUUCAAAAAAAUAAAUCAUAUAAGUCUAAGAAAUAUUUAGUACCUUAAGGAAAACACUAAGGUGGCGUUUGUUUUUUAACUUAAUGACUUAAAGUGACUUAACUUAAUUAAUUAAGUUAAUUAAAGGUGUUUGUUUUUAUAACUUAAUGAGACUUUUUAGAUAAUUUUGACUUAAUAAAAUAAGCCAAUUUUUUUAGCUUUUUACUUAAUGGAGAAAUCUGAAUUAAGUCAAUUACUUACUAAUGUCAAAAAUAUCCUUGCUUUAUAAUUUAUUUUUCAUGUUUAUCCCAAACUCAUCCAUAGACAUUUACCCUACAUAAAAAUAUCCAUGUUUUUCUUUCUUAUAUUAUAUACGAUAAAAUUUAAAAUUUAUGGUAUUUUAUCUAUUAAAAUUCUAAAAUAAUUAUGUAUUUACUUGAAUUUAGUUUUACUUAUAAAUGUUAAAAUAUUGUGGCAUUUAAUAUAUUAUUUAUUUGACAUUCAAAUUUAAUAAGGAUACAAAUGUAAAAGUACAUAUUUUUAACUUUUUAAGUUGAAAAAAACAAACAACUUAAUACUUAUUUUCUGAGAUUCAGACGAAAAAAUAAACAUAUUAUUCAGAUUCAGACAUUCAGAUCUAUUCAGAAUUCAGACUAAUUCAGGUAUAUUCAGAUUUUAGAUAAAAAAACAAAUGCCACCUAAAAAAAGAAAGUUAUAAAACUUUCUUUUCCUUCUCCAAAGACUUAUGUUUCUUUUUUUUUUUUCUUUCUAGAGUUUGUAACGGUGUAGAAAAUAAAAGACGACUUCCUCUUAAAUACUUGUCAAUUAAUAAAUACUUUUAAAAAAAAAAUUAAUAACUUACAUAAUUUAUUUAAAGCAAUUUGAUAAAUUUUACCCACACACAAACACUCAAUAAUAAUUAUCCUACUCAAUUUUGAUAAGGGUAAAAGUAGAAAAAUAAAUAAAUAAAUAAAAGUGGGCGUUACAUGUUUGGCAUAUGUCGAUGACAUUUCUAAAAUUACCCACUCUCAUGUUUGGCUUUUUUGAGAGUCCUCAUCAAUCAACAUAAAAUUUCAUCUCAUACCUUGCAUAAAUACUAAACUAGGGGUUGUGUGCAUAUCUUGUGGACCAAUUAGCAAUAACACAUCCUCUUCACGAAACACCAAUAGAUGUCAUAAUUACUAUCUCUUUCUGUUGAUUUAGAACUACUUUCCAAAUUUGCUAUAUUCCAACAAUCUCUUUUAAGAUGUUUUGAUUACCUACACUCGUCCAAGGGUUUCUACUAGUGGAAUAGGCCUUACAUUGUUCUUUGCUUUACUUGUACAGACAUAUUGAAUCAUUACGUUAUUGAUUUGAGCUUCCCAUAAGCAAACAUUGAUUAUUCUGUCAAACUUUUUCGUUUCUAUCUUCAUAGGUUUUGAAAACCUCCUUGUUGCCAUAUUUGCUCUACAUUGCAACCUUAGCUCUAUUAUCACCUACUAAGAAAUAAUUAAUCCCACUUAAGAUUCGUAAGAAAAAAUAUCAAAUAAAUAGUAAAUAUAAAAUAGAUAGAAAAUAAAGCCAAUCAAAUAAUACAAAAUUUACAUGAAAACUUCUAUAUUGGAGAAAAACUAUAAUAGCCAAGGAUGAUAAGAGAAAAAAUUAUUAUAAUUACUCUAGUAUUUUUUUAACACCUAAAACACCAAAAGCACCUAAUCUCUUAAUAGAACUAUCUUUUCUCUCGCAGUAAAAACUAUUUACUUACAGACAAUCGAUUGUUAUAUUAUGCAAAUAAGUAAACCUAAUCUCCAUAUAUGUGUGUGUGUGUGUGUGUGUGUGUGUGUGUGUGUGUGUGUCUAUGUAGGUAUGUAUGUAUAUAUGUAUGUAUGUGUAUGUAUGUGUAUAUAUAUAUAUAUAUAUACUCACACAUAUAUAGAUACCUACAUACAUACAUACAUACAUAUAUAUAUGUACAUGUAUGUACAUACAUACAUAAAUACAUACAUACAUACAUACAUACAUACAUACAUACAUAUACACACACACAUACAUGCAUACAUACAUACAUACAUACAUACAUACAUACAUAUAUGAUUUGUAUUCCUCUUUGAAUAAGUUAAGUUCUAAAGAGAAAAUUACUUAUUUGUUAAAUAUGAAUUAUCUUCAAUAAGAAAACUGAAAAGUGUAGAAAAUUCCUAAUUUAGGACUUAAAAAUCUUCUUUGAAAAAAGAGACAUCUCCCAAUAUCCUCAAAUCCUCUUUACAAUGCCACCAAAUCUCUUUUGUGACUAGCCCGGUUGAAACUUUUAAUUAAUGGGCUGUAAUUGCCAAUAUCCAAAAUAUCCAAAUAAAACAAAUUUCCAUAGGUAUAUUGGUAGAUUGAAUGACAACUAACAACACGUGAUUUGAUUAACUUAUUUCCAAAAAAAAAAGAAAAAAAAAAGAUACAAUGGAUGAACAUAAGACUCUUGUGCCAACUCAUGGAAUUCAUCAAUAAGGCCUUGGCUGAUCCACCUCAUGACUAGUAGAGUUCAAACCCCCGCUAAAUAGUAAAAAAACUAUUUGGAUUAUUAAUUACUCUUUCUUAAGUCUAUUUAAACUUAACUUUAAGAAUUAUGAACGUCUACACUUUAAUUAAAACAAUACAAGCCCACCCGUUUGUAUUUAAAAUUUUGUUUGAAUUUAUUCACGAGCAACAAGAAUAGUAUAAAUGGAAAAAAAAACCAUCAAAUAAUAUCCCAUGACUCUGUUUCUUCAAUUUCAGGAGCAAUGGUGGAAUCAUAUUUUCCGAUUGAAAAACUUUUGGAAAAAUUAGUGAGCUCUACUUGUGAAGAACUUUUAUUGUUCUACGGUGUCAAAAAUGACUUAUAAAAAUUAAAGGAGACGUUAACCACUGUCAAAAGUGUGGUUUUGGAUGCUGAGGAAAAGCAAAUCCAUAAUCACCGGUUAAGCGAUUGGCUGGGAAAGCUUAAAGAUGCUUGUUAUGAUGCAGAAGAUGUGUUGGAUGAAUUUGAGGUGGAAAAUCUACGAAGGCAAGUCAUGAAGCAAAGAAGCAUCGGAAGAAAGUUUCGUAACUUUUUUGGAAGCUCAAAUCCGAUAGCUUUUCGUUUUAGAAUGGGCCAUCAAAUCAAGAAAAUUCGAGAGAGAUUUGAUGAGAUUGCAAAAUUGAGGGGUGAGUUUAAUCUCAUUGAACGACUUGACGAUCAUCAGCGAGUUGUGCACAAAGAAAGGGAACCCACUCACUCGUUUGUGCUUUCAUCUGAUAUUAUUGGAAGAGAUAAAGAUAGAGAGAAGAUUAUUGAACUAUUGAUGCAAACAAGUGACGGCGAAAGUGAAACUGUGUCUGUGGUUCCUAUUGUGGGACUUGGAGGUUUGGGCAAGACUGGACUUGCAAAAUUGGUGUACAAUGAUCAAAGGGUAGAAGAGCAUUUUGAGUUGAAAAUCUGGAUAUGUGUUUCUGAGGAUUUUGAUGAGAAACAACUUAUGACAAAGAUUAUCAAGUCGAUAACUGGUCAAAACCAAGGUGACUUGGAUACAGACCAAUUGCAACGAACCUUGC
rnacentral:lncRNA from 1 species